rnacentral:lncRNA from 1 species
CCACAGACUAAUAGCACUCGAAUUAGCAACCAGAUACACGCACAAUUUCUCACUUUUGUUUUUCUCACUCAUAAAUAGAUCACAAGAUAGGGAAAAAGGUAAAAGAGAGUAGAGAGAGAGAGAGAGAGAGAGAGAGAGAGAGAAAUUAAGGCACAGCCCUCGCUACUAUGGUCCCAUAAACCUGCAUUAGAUCGAAGGAAAAAAAAUCAGAACAAAUGUUUUCAAACGUUUGUCAUUGUUCAUUAUUGUAAAAAAAUCCUAAAUAUCUCUUUCUUAUAUUUACUUAUUUUCAUGUUUUUAAUCUUUUUCCUUUCAUUUCCUUUCACUUAUUAUGUCUCUAGAAUGCAGUGUACACUAAUCAUUACACAUGUAAAAAUAGGAGAUACAUGCGGGAGCAGAAAUUGACGAUCAUAGUUUUUUCCAAUAUACCUAUAUAGAAACUAAAAUUUGACCAAUAAUUCCAUGGUUAUAACAUCUUAGAUCGCCCGAAAAAGAAUUAUAUGAAGUUUAAAAAUGAGAUCUAACACACAGGGUGUCAUCGUGCCCGAAUGUAUAAUUUCCCUAACUAAUGUUAGCUCAAAAGUGAUAGAAGAAAAUAAGAUCAUAAUUAAAUUUCCUAAUUCAUCAUCCAUGUUGUUGUAAUAGACCAAUGUGGAAAGAUUUAAUUUUGACAGAGCCAAACAUAAAAAUGCAAAACAAAAGUAUACCUUUUAAAUAUAUAGGUGAUGCAGCAGUUUAAUCACUGUCACUGCUGCUGCUGCUGUCAUGGCCAUGCUCAUGGCCAUGCUCCUUCUUCUUCUUCUCCUUCUUCUUCUUCUCGCCCUCGGCGGCGCCGCCCUCACCAUGGAUCUUGUCCUUGACUUUGUCUAGGAACCCCUCUUUGUGCUCUGGCUUGUGCUCACCAUGGUACUCUCCAGCUUUGUGUUCACCAUGAUGCUCUCCUUUGUACUCACUACUGUGUUCACCAUGGUGCUCCCCUUUGUAUUCUCCAGCAUGGUGCUCACCCUUAUGCUCCUCCUCCUUCUUGUGCCCUCCCACAUGAAGGGUCUCCCCAAUCUUGUGAAUGAUCCCUGACAUUAUGCUCUUUGAUUUUUAUUUUUUCUCACUUUCACUUGGCUUGUGUUUUGUUUUUGGUAUGAUCUGACCCCUUGGGAUGAAUGGUAUUUAUAGGGAGAGAAGUUAUGCAUAAAGUGGAAACAUUAUUGGAUUUGUUAGGAAUAAAAAUAUGUUAUCCAUCAUUUUGGGAUGAAAUUACGGGAUUGGCCUUGGGCGUGUUCAUUGCGUGUAAUCAUUUAUAACUAUUUUGCUUCCAGAAAAUAUACAAUCUGAUGAAUCAUACGGUUUUUAUUUUUAAAUACUUCUAACAAGUUUAAUGCUAUAUAAUUAGAUUGAAUCUUUUAUUGAUAUUUUUGUCGUUAAUUUUUUUAUAAAAUGGAAAUUAAUUAUUUAUUGAUAUUUUUAAUUUAUCAACAUUUAUUGGUACAAAUGAUAAAAAAGAUUUGAGUGUUGUUUUAAUUGCGACCUUAAGAUUUCUGGAGUGAUCAUAAUCGUAAUGGUGAUUAUAUUAAUCACAUUUAUUCUUAUAAUGUCAAGGAUCACGUCCAAAUUGCAAUUGUGACUGUAAUUAAUUUAAAUCCUUGCAAAUAAUAAGAUAUUUUUACUUUUUUUAGUACAAUAUACAAAUUGAAUAUUAAAAUAAAUGUGAUGUUUUUCAGUAAGAAAAUGUUAUUUUCGUCAGAAAGUUUAUUUAACUUAAAUUAGGUAGAGUUUCAUGUGCUUUUUAAAUAGGGAAAAGGGUGCAAAUAGGAAUUCUAAACUUUAAUUUUAUUCCAAUUAAUCUUUAAACUUUUCCUCUAAACACCAUGAACUUUAAAUUUAUUAUUAUUCAUACUUGAACUUUAACUAUUUUGUAAAUACACAUCUUAAACUUUAAAUUUAUUAUUAUUCAUACUUAAACUUUAACUAUUUUGUAAAUGCACAUCUUAAACUUUGAUUUCAUUUUAUCUAUAAAAUGUAUCCUUUUUAUGAAUAAUUUUUUCAAGUUAUUUAUCUUAAAUGUUAAUCAUUCAUUUUUUUUUGUUACAACUCAAAUUUCCAUACUUAAAUAUAAUAAAGAAAAUGAAUUUAGAAAAUAUAUAUAAAAGGGAAAAUAAUAACAUCAAUAAAAAAAUUACUUUAUUUUUAAUUCAAUAUUUUUUAAGUUUUAAUGUUUGGAAAAGUGAUUUAUAAAAAUAAAACUAAGAAAUAAUUUAGAUUAAAUAAAUAAACAGUUGAAAUAUAUUUUUUGUUAGUAAUUUAACUCCAAUUUAAUAUAAGAGAUUAUUUAUGAAAGGAGUAAAUUAUAAUAAUUAAUUGAGAUGAAUUUAAAAUUUAGGUGUCUACGUGCAAAAGAGGUGAAAUUUAAGAAUUGGUUUAAACGAAAUUGAAAUUCGCAGUAUCUAUUUACAAAAGAGAUAAAGUUUAAGAAUUAAGAUAAAAUUAAAACUUAGAGAGUAAACAAUAAGGUAGUUAAAUAUUUUUUUUCCUUUUAAAUAUAAAAAGUUAGAAAGAAAACCAAUAAUAUAUUUUAUUAUUUUGCUUUUUUUUCGAUAUAUAUAGUAUUUUGGCUUUCGAUUCUAGAAAAAUAUAAAAUAAAAACAUCUUUUUUAUGUAACGGAUUGAGAGGUGCCAAAUUAAAGUAUGAAUCAUCAAUUAAUUAGACAAUGACUUUGGAGAGGCUUUAGGCUUAAAGGCAAACAGGUGUCGAGUGGUUAAGGCUCAAACUAUUGAGUCGUUAAAAUUUGAGCAUUUGGAACCUAAUUGUAGCUUUUCCUGUGUAUUACGGAACCCAUUUGAGAGAAGGAGACGAUGCUUACGAAUUGCAAAGACAGAGACAGAGAGAGAAUCUUUAAGUUGGGAUGCAAAUCAUGACAAUGUCUGUAAAAAUUGUUAGGAACCUUUAAUCGGAUAAGGAAUUUAUAAAGUUAAUUAUCCUGCAUUCUAGAUCCUACUUUGGGAUGUAGUUCAUUUCUAUUUCAUAUUUGCUUUCCUUAUUUCAAAACUAAAGGCAAAGUAUAAACUCUAUAUAUUAAAAAAAAAAAGGAAAAGUAGAAACUCUAUGAUAGCUAUUAGCCAACUCUAGAGAAAAAGAACAAGUAAUGGGAAGGUAUGAGGACAUAAUCUUGUCCAAAUCCAUCACAUGCUUUCUCUCCUUUAUUUUUAGUCUCUCUUAUUUUAAAAUAAAAAACAAAGUAGUAUGGAGGGUAAAAGAGUAAAUAAUAAAUUAAUAAAGAAAGAAAAAUUAUGGUAUUAUUUUGAAAAAUAUUCUAGAGCAGGACGAAUGAAUUAGGGUAGCGUGGAAUGCGGGAGAAGAUGACCGACCGAACAUUAUGGGCCAUAAAUGAAAAAUCCAAAAGAGGAUAAGAAGGGCCUAUUCAAAGCUCUAAAUAGGGCCCACUUUCCAAAUGAAAGCAAGAAAGAACGUUAUUCCUGUGCCCUUUUCUUUUUGUUACCGACUUGAAUUUAAAACUUGAAUUAAAUGAAGAUGUAAGAACUAAGAACCACUUGUUUAUUUAUUUUUUUUAAAUAAUCGUUUUUAAAAAAUAUUUUUUUUGUUGAAUUUUUUAAAAUUUUUAGAUAAAAAUUCUGUUAUUUAAUAGCAUUUUCUUUUCCAUAAAAAUCCUCUGAAAAUAUUAGCUAAAACUAAAGACCACUCAUUAACGAAUCACUUCUCAAUUUUAUUUAGUGGAAUUAUAAAUACUCACUAUUAAAAUAAUAGCUAAUAAAUAUUUUUUCAUAAAAAUAAUAAAUAUUUUUUCAUAAAAAUAAUAAAUAUUUCAUAACUUAAUUAUCUUCACAUGUCUGCAGCGCAUCGUUUGAUAACUUUCUUAAAUGAGGUCAAUCGUUACCAUGACGCGUGGAUGGUUAUAAACUUGCCGACAAGCGUGGAACGGUAGAAGCGCCACCGACCGUGACAAGAAAACCUUUUGUUUUUAACACAAAGUGACAAGAAAAAUUUAAUUAAUGGUGUAGGUACGUUUUUUUUAUCAUCAUAUUGACAUGAAAUAUUUAUUAACAUUAAUUAAUUUCGGUAAAAAAAAAACAUAAGACUGAUCACACUUUUAACAAAGUCUCUUGUCUCAAUUGUAUUUUUUUUAUUUUAAAAAAAUCGAGUCUGAUACUCUCAAAACCAAUUACUUGAUUUUUUUAUACCAGAAAAUCAAUUAGUUGUUAGUAGUGUAUGUACAUUUUAGAGAAAUAAAACUUUUAAAAUAUAUCAUACUCAACUGUCAAGUCAAGGCGGUAUCUGAUAUUUCAUUUUACGAGAGCCAAAAAUGUCAAAUAUUAAUACUAACAAAGUAUUAUAAAAGAACCUGAAAUUUGAUAUGAAUGUCAAGCUGAGAAAUUAGUUUUUUAGAAGAAGUUCAUUAUUUGCUGAGAAAUUUUUGGACGGACAUUUGUGGCACCUCCAUUGAAAAUUUUCUUGGCUAAUACUCCUCUUUCUAGGAGUACACAGCUUAGAAGUUGUGCAAGACUAUUAUUUAUUGGCAUAAAUGUGAGAUGUGAUAUCCAAAAACCGAAUGAUGUAUUUUUGUUAGAUCCGAAAUCAGCCAUAUCAGUGUUUUAAGCCCCCCAGCAGCAAAGAGAAAAGGCUAAAUUGAUUGGAUGAGGAAAUCCAUUACAAAAUUAACAAUAUUUGAGUGGCUAGCUAACUAAUUGACUCAGCAAAACUAGUUCAAAUCUAUUAUGAAACUAACAUGGUAAUACUUUUUCAUUUUCAUAUUGCUAUGUACACUAUUUAUACAUGUAUUUUCACUUUUCAGUUCGCAUUAUACCCACGUCUGUUAUGGGGCAAAGCCUACAUAUAUUAAACUCACAUACUAGACAAUCUAAUAAGCAAGGGUGAAUAAUAGUUAUUUAGCAUCAACAGUGUUAGGAACAUCGUCUACUACACGAAUAGGAACAAUUGGUAUUGAAUCCCACCAUUCCCUCAAUCGUCUAUUCCCUGUUCCACUUCCAGAAGACUUUCCUAAUGUCAUAGUGAAGCUUUGGAGAAUGAGAGCCAUAAGGAAGAAUUUGAAUGGAAUUACUGCCAAUAAGAUAGCCAAUCCACUCAUUGCCACCAUCACUAGAUUUGCAUGCUGACACAGGAACAAUAAUGAUAUGUACUUACUAGUAAAACAAAAACUGCCAUAAAUUGUAAUACAGCAUUAUAGGAGGAGGAGGGGGGCUAAGAAUAUAAUCUAACACAUUCCUUUAAACACACUACCACUUAUUGGUUAAAAACACACACUAUCGCUUAUUGGUUAAAAUUUAUUGAAAGCUACAAAGCAAGAGAGUGUGUUCAAAAUAGGAUAUGGGGCCCACAAAAAUUAGUGAUAUGAUUUUCAAUAAGAAUUUCAACCAAUAGAAGAGAAGAGUGUGUUCAAAAUAAUUUGUGAGGCUCACAAAAAUUAGUGAUUUUCAAUAAGAAUUUCAACCAAUAGAAGAGAGUGUGUUCAAAAUAGUGUGUUAGAGAGGGUAUUCCUAAUAUUUCUUUUAUAGGAUAGAAGAAGGAAAAACAACUAUAAAUUGUGAUGCACAAAUGAAGAAGCAAAACAUGUAUGUCGACAUCAGCUCAUAGUGAUCAAUGAAAUAUGACUCCAUUUUAAAACAAGCACUUAUUAUAUGUUAGAAUCAAUCUUCACUAAGAUCAUGAUAACUGCUGAAAAAAAUCUAACAAGUACCUUAUCAGCCUUUGAAAUAAGUAUUGACCAUAUCUUUAGCAUUGCUAUGUUUGCUAUCUGCAUCAUGUCAUGAAUUGUGUACAAUCCAUGCUGGGCCGAGACAAUGCUCUCCAUCGUAGAUUGAUCAGAAGCCAUACUGGAUCUACUGAUAACUAUCUCGUAGCAUUUCUCACGAAUCUUCUUUUUUCUUGCAUCAAGCAUCUUUAUUAUUGCCCAAAUCAAGAAAGCUGCAAAUGUCUUGCCAACCCAUUCCCUGCGUUAUCCAUUUGAUGUUACAUACAUUCUAGCAAAACUCACUCAUGGUCAUGGAAUUUUUUUAUGAAUCUAACACAAUUUGACAGUUAAAACGUGUAAAGAAAUAGUAAUUACUUACAUAUAGAUGAUCAUCAGGGAUGCAGCAAGAACAGCAAGAGUAAUUAUUGGUCUCUCCCAUGUGAAUAUUUCUUGAAACCAAGGGACUACAUGUUUAAGUGGCUUCAGUAGUUCCUAUACAAUGAAAUUAGCAAACUACGAUUAAGUCUCAACUCCAAACAUGCCAAUGACGCCAUGCUUUCUUUCCACUUUGGACAAUCCUGAAAUCUGGUUCUCAAUUAAAGAGUUAAUUGAAAAACAUCUUAAAGCACUUUCUAAGCGUACCAUAACCUACAAUUAUUUGUCAUGUUGACCAUGAACUUCCCAUCCCCCAAAGUAUAAAAGAAAUUUAUAGAAAGGCAUAAAAUAUACUUUCCUCUACAAAGAAACAACCCCAUUUUGCAAAAUCAUGUGCUACUGCUUACUAGAGUUCAGCAAUGAGGAUACUCAUGAGCUUUGUUUAGGUUAAACUCUUACCGUUAUAACCAAAACACUGUCAAUGACUCCUUCAUCCUUUAAUUUUUCAGUGGUAGCUUUAGCAAUGAGAAUUUCCUUUUCUUCCUCCCUAGAUUGUUUGAUAGCAGCCUCCAAUAAGGGACUAUCGUCUACAACAUUAACACUUCCAUCUGCUUGGCUUGCCUCAUCUGUUAUUAUACACGAAUCUACAGUCUUAGAAAUGUUCAUACUUCUAAGGAUAGAACUUGCACUACAUGACUGUCCAUUAUUGCCCUUUUUGAGGCUAUCAGCAAGCUCUUCUAGCACAUAAUCUCCCUUUGGUAUCUCGUCAUAUAAGGAAAAUAUUAAGAAUUUUGUUGGGACAGGAGGUGAUAUUCUUAGCAUUUCUCUUGCUGCUUGCAGCCUUACAAUUCCCAAGAUUGUCCUUGCAUGCAGCUCCCAUGUUUGUAUUGGACAUUUUAUCUGGUACUUUGAUAAAAACUGGUGGAGAAACAUUAUUUCUCUGACUAGUGCAAGCCAAUGAUCACGUCUCGUGGAACUCGUAAGCUCUGGAAACUCCAGUACAACUGUCUCUGAUCUAGAAAAUUGAGAAGAAAAAUUUACUCGUAUUAAUGACAGAAGUGAAAAAAAAAACUUAAUGACAGAAGUGAAGAUUAGAUACAUUUCUAUAUUUGAUAUUACAUUGAGAUGGUACUAACAAACUUAAUCAGAACCAAGAUAUGAUUACGUCAAAGCCAUAAAAAAUAAGAAAUAACACUCAAAAUAUUAGAGAGAACAUAUUGAUUUCUCCCGUUCAUAAGCUUUUAGGUCAGACCAUUUUGAUACACAUCAGAUGUAGAAUUCCGAAAAUUCUAUGAUUCUUCAGAAUCGUGUUCAUUUAAAAGAUUGUGGUGGUAAGUCUGAGGUUUGAGCUUCACCAAAAACUGAAAGGGUUACGUUGAUGAAAUCUUAGAAGCCAAGUGCUUCUGUAAAUAUACAAGCAUGCACAUAUAUUUUAUGAAGAUUAAAUCCAUACUGGAUAUUUCCAUGUGCAUUUUUAACAUACAUAACUCCAUAGUAGGUAUUGAUGAUAAUAAAAGCUGCUAUGCUAGUAGUGUCCUUACAAAUCAGUUGAAUCAUAGAUUAUGGCUUUGUCAUAAAGUUGUGCUCCCCAUGGACCUGUGGCAGCAGGUUCAACACUCUGCUCAAUAUUCUUGGAGAGGUCUAUUUUGAGAGCAUCUUCAUACCUUAUUACUCCGGAAGCCUCAAAGUAAAGAGAGUAAUUGGUCAGUGUAAGCCUACCUGGCAAUUAAAACCAAAGCAACAUUUACAUUUUUAUAUGAAAAUAUUAAUUUUAUGAAUUCUAAUGCAGUAAUAAAAUUAAGAUCAGAGACACCAAGCAGCUGACCAGGCCAACUUGUUGAUCCAAUGUGGCGAACUACUCUCUGAGUGCUGGCUGUUCCAUCUACAUGUAAUAUAUAUUCAUCCUCAGCCAGUUCCACCCCAUUUGGUGUUGCAUGUUUCUGCAAAUGUCGUAUGCACCUAGGGAAUCAUGGAAUCAUAAAUUAAAAAAUAAAGGAUAAUAAGAAAUUGGACUUCCUCUAUCGUCUAUUAACUUCUAUUUAUAUCAAGAGGCAUGUUCUGUUUAUAGUAUUAAAGUCAACCUAAUCCGACAGGCUGAAAGGAGUUUCUAGUUUUUCUAAAUGUCAAAUAUCUUGGAAGGAAUCCUACCCUUUAAUAGAGUACAAACUUUAAAUUAUUGUUCCAUCCACCAUAUAAUCAUUAGGAAGUUGUAUGAGUUCAGUGUUUUAUAUUAUCCAUAAAGCUAAAUGGUUAUAAUCAACUAUGCAAUAUUAGCAUAACCAUUACAGUGUCGUGUGUUGUUUAGUUCAUCUACUAGCCAGGGAAAGAGAAAUAAAACAGAUCUACUUCUCUCCAUGGAAAUUGCCCUUUACCCAAUUUUAUAAGUUAAUGCAUCUAUCAUUCCAAAAAGAAUAAAAUCUUCCCCUUUUGUCUAAUGAAACCAAUCCCCAAUCACAAUAUUCUCUUUUAAAUAUAAGGAAAGAGGCAAUCACAAGUCAAAACCCACUCUCUAGAAAAGCUUUUUAAUAGGCACGCUCAUGAAAGAGCCAGUGGGGCUUAAAUAAAGGAUAAUGCAUAGGCUAACUAUACCUUGCUGAAUGGAAAUUUUAUCAGAAAACUGAAGGAGGUAAGGAUCAAAUUCUUAAAUGUUAAAAAAUCAAUUCUCUUUAAAAGCUUAAAUUGUCAGGUAAAGACACCAGAUAUGUUUUAUAAAUCUAACAAUAUUAAAUUGUUCCCCAAUCGAAGUUAUGUUAUUAUCUCUCUUUUAUAUCUCUUAUUCUACCAAAGGCAUUCUAGAUGUCCAGACAACUUGGAUAGUUCAUUCUGCAUAUCUUAUAUGUUUAACUAUCAAAUAUCCAAGAUAGUCAUCAUGGUCUAAAUCAGAGAUAUUGUUAAACAGCAUUCCAACGCAGUCUAAAAAGCAUAGGAGGAUUUUCGUAGCUAUUAUACUUAUGAACUACAAAUGCAUGCAAAUGGACAAGGAAAAAAUCUUUCGUCAGAUCAAUGCAUUACUUGUCCAUUUCUUUUAAGAACAUGUCGUAUGCUGGAAAAUGUAGUCGAUUGCCUGUCGGUGCUGUAAGAGAUUCAAAAGUAAACCUUCCAUUUGCUACAUCUGCAACUAAAGGUACUAAUGAUCCCAACCAUACAAAUGCAUCUUCUCCAACAUUGGGCUCAUUAUUAACCUGGCAAGACAGUUUAUGAAUUAUAUGAUUAGAAAACAAAAUGCACAUAGUAAGAGUGACAAGCUACAAUUGAAAAUAUCUACACCUAAAGCCAUAAAUAUUGUGUAAUUCUAUCAAACUGGCUUGGUUCAAAUGGAAGAAGCAUCAAACAUCCUUAUUAAAGAGAAUAUUCAGAGUCUAACUCAACGUCUUGAAAUUUUGAAUUAGAAGAGAAAAAGCUGCAAAAGGAUGGAAUUCAAACUUAUGCUUAAAACUAAAAAUAGAAGAGGGGUGGGGGGGUCAGCUUAUAAACACAUCAUCUGUAUUCUGUAAUAUCAUCACAAAAUAAGGGGAAAAGAUGCUCUUACAAGGAGGGGCAUGAUGUCUGAAUAAAAAAGAGGGAUAUCAUCCUGUUCUUGAGUGGUAUUCAAAGUUAUCUUCCUUUCUUCUUUCUCCUUUGCUACAUUCUCCUGCAAACCUCAAAAGCCUCAUCUGAUUAAUGACAGCAGUAAGCACAAAAACAAAAGCUUUAGAUCAAAAUCUUAUUUAGAUAUGAAAGGUGAUAAUGCUGAAGUUCAGAUUAAACAGGACAAGAUCUUAGGAUAAUGUUCGAUGACCAAUAAUUUCAAGCCAUGCAGAGCCUACUUCAGUUCCUCCUAAAUGUAAUCUUACUUGUGUCAAGAGAAUUUGAUAAGUAGCAUAGAUUCUUGAACUGAUAUCCAAUUCAAUUAAACUUCAUUACUUAAAAUAUGAAGAAUAAAACCAUGGUCAACCACUGCAAGAUAAUCUGGACCCCUAAUGGGUUCAUCAGAUAUCUCCAAUAUUUCCAUUUCAACAGCAUCUGUUAAUUGUGUGUGUACAUUAUAAGUUUAUAACAAAAAAGAAAGACAAAAUAUUCUUCAAUUAAAAUCAUAUUUCAUCUCGUAACUAAAAUUAUCAGUUAUUAUCAAAAUGAAAUGCCAAUUUUUAUUUUGAUUGGAGAUAGUAUUAUGAUAUUAGAUUAUAUCCAAGUUCAUUUUGUUCCAAAAAACAAUAGUGUGUGUGAGAGAGAGAGAUAAAUUAUAAAUAUGCACACCGUGGUAUCUUCUUCAUCGUAGUAGCUAGGUCUCUCCCAAGCAAGCAUCAUGUCAUAUGUCAACCUGCUAAAUGAGCCAUCGUUGAUGUUUCCCUCUAUGUUGUGGCACAAUUCACUCACAGCCUUCCCACUGCAAAAUUCAACUAAUUUUCUGCAAUAGUUUCCCAUUUCAGGGUGCCACCCCCCUUCAAAAUCCACCACCAAUUUCUCUACCGAAGUGUCCAGUUUCCUAAGUAACAAAUAAACAAAAGUAACAAAUAAACAAAUGCAAAGUAAAUUUAGUAGUCAACUACUAUGUUUGCAUUUCAUAAUAGAGUUCCUAUAAACAUAUCCAUAGAUAUAAGAAAACAAUCUACCACAAAAUUAGAACAUGAAAUUGGCUUCAUUUUCUCAUAAUUUUUCCAAGCUCUAGGAGACCAACUACACCAACAUGGAGAAAAUUAAAAGGACAAAAUACAAAACUACUUUCUUCCAUGAAAAAACACUAUACACGUGUUAUUAUUAGCAUAUGGCUAUAAGAGUGAAAAGAGAGAUUACUGUGAACAUCUCUUGAUGACAUCCUCGGCAAUGGAAGACAGAUAUUUGAGUUUCAUCGCCAUAAUAACCGUACGUGGUUUCUUCCCUCUCUAUGUUUCUCUCUUUUUUAGUGAGUAAAAUACUAAUGCUAAAAUGCAAUGAAGCACCGAAAAUCGAAAGGGUUUGGUCUAAUAGUAAUAGAUGAGAGGGUGAUACGUGGGAAGGUUCAUUAGUCGCCACGUCGUAAUGGACAUGCAACGCAGGCAUGCAACACUUGGUUCCCCUCUCUAUCCGUCUUCAUUCUCCAUAGCGGUUCAUGCCUAUUUUCUUUCUCGAGAAUUUUCCGGUAGUAUUAAUCUGCAUUUAAGCUUUCCUGCCUUCGUUCUGAUCCAAUUUGAUAUACUAUAUUGUAAAAAAUUAAAUGAAAAUUUAUAAAUCGAAUAAAUAAAAUUUUAGGUUGAAUAUUUUAAAUAUAAAUUUUUAAGUGUAUCAAUUCAAUUUGAGCGUACGUAUAUAUAUAUUAACUUUUUAUUUAUAUUAUAAAUAAAAUUAUAUGUUUAAUUAUAUUACAUGAUAGUGAACGUUAAACUUUAAAGGAAUAACAUGAAAAAAGUAGUAACAAAAAUGAGAAAUGAAUUAUGUGAAGUGUCAUCAUAAAAAAAUGAUAGAAUACAAAAUAUUAUAUACGAGAAAAGAUUAAUCUAGUACCUAUUGAAGAAAAUAUGACAAAAAAUUUGGUUAAGAAUGGGUAUAUGGGUCAAGGUUCACUAAUUGGUCCGUUAAGCUUGUAGGUCGGGUAGAUAAUAAAUCUCUUUUUUUUUUAAAUUUGUAUAGUUAUAAGUUAUUUGGACCUGAUUUGUUAAACCUGCGGACUUCACAGGCUUAAUCCACAUGUUCAUGGGCUAACCCACAAAACCUGCAUAACACAUGUGUGUUUGUAAUGUUUGUAUAUUUUAGUUGCAAAUGUUGGUAUAUUUUUGUUUAAUAGAUUUUAGCUUAAAAAUUAAAAAAAAAAAAAUCUACUAAUUUGGUAGACUUUUUGUUUUUUUUUUAAAAUUUCAUAUUAUUAUUCAGGUUCGCGGAUCAACCUAUUUAUCUGUUGGUUUUGUGAACCAGAUAUGGACUUCAAAAAUAAAAAAAUGUAAUCAUUUAUCUCGCAAAUCAGACUUAUCUGACUCUUAUAUAUAAAAUGUAGGUUUCGUGGGACAGACCUUAAAUGAGUCAAACUAGUCCAUGUACCCACUUUUAGACAUGUACAAAAAAAACCACAAGGAACAUGUUAAAAGAGUAAAUUGUAUAAUUUUUAGUCUACUAAAAAAAAGGAGAUAAAAAGAAUGUUAGAGAAAAUCAUAAAUGUUUACACCAUCAUGAUUACACAUGUGGAGACAUUCUUAGUAAUAAAGUGAUAUCACUUUAACAACUUCUCCUUGAUUUUUAAAAUGCUACCUUUUUAAUUAAUUUCAUAACUGAUAAAUUAAAAUUUAUUAUUAUUGACAAAAAAUAUUUACUAUUAUUUCUUAUUGUGGAAAUAACUUGAAUUUAGUUCAAUAGUGGAGACUAGGUUUAAAUCUAAUGAUUGACGACGGAUCAGAAACAACGAUAAAGUAAUUGUAAGUACUCUGAUGCUUAAGUCAAAGAGAUAAGAGACUAGAUUAUGAGCAUUAGAGUUAUUUCAUAUACCCGAAUUUUUUAUUUAUAUACAUGAGUCUGAGUGAAAAAGUUAAUUAGAUAGUUAUGAUCACAUAAUCCUCUUAACCUAUAUAGGAAUCAUGCGUUACAUGUUGUCCCCUUAUUGAUAUUCUAAAAUUAUUGAUCUACAUAAAUAAAAUGUUUACGGAUUCUUGUAAUUAGGUAGGCUCCAAAAUACUACUUUAAAACACCUAUAUGACAUACAUAAUACAUAUUUAGUAUUAAUACAUGUAUAGAAUCCUUCAAAAAUUUGGUUCAAUAACAAAAAUUGUUAGGGUGAAAUUACAAUUCAAUUUUUUAACUUUAGACAGAAAUACAUUUUUUUGUUUUAUGUUUGAAUGAAUAUAUUUAUGUUGAAAAAUAUUUUGAAACAUAAUUAUUUUUUAAAACACAUUUUAACCAACAUUUUUUGUAUUAUUAAUUAUUUAAAUUAGAGUAUUUUUUAUUUUUUAAGUAAAAAUUUGACUUUUUUUACAAUGAAGUAAAAACAUUGAAUAUAAAUCAAAUAUAUUUAAUAUCUUAAUAGUAUUAUAAAAAAAUCUUUCAUUUUCUUCUUUCUUCCUUUGACUUAGAAUUAGGACUAUACCAAAUCAAGAUUUAUAGUGUUGUUUUAAAAUUAUUAUUAUUAUUCAAGUUCAGAGGUCACUAAGAUUCAGUGCAGUCGAAAAGUAGACACAUCCCCGCAGUCAAUACUUAUAACCGUUAGAUGAAGAUCCGAUGGCUAAUAUCUUAAACGUGUGUUUCUCAUCUGAUUUCUAGAGAUAAAAUAUGAAUCGUCCAAUCUUCAUCCAACAGUUAAGAACUAAUAACUGCUUAAAUAUGUGUUUAUACCGACUGCAGGAAACCCGCUUGGUGGAGGGUGGUAAAUUGAUCUGUGUAUCAUUAUACUUUGAGGUGAACAAAACGAGUGUUUCAAGUUGCGGCGUGUGGGCUUUGUCUGAACUCAGUGAACCACACCACACAACACAGACGAUUUCUCAGUCUCAAUCUCAGGUACGUAUUUUUCUUAUCUUUCUUCUUUCUUUUCUCUCCAACACCUUAAUUCCAUUCAUUCGCACUUUGUUUACACUUAUUCUUCGAAAUUAGCCUCUGCUUCGUUGAAAUCCCUUUCUCUUUGUUUGCGAAAUCAUUUUCACUUUUUUUUUCGCACACGCUCAACCAAGUAAACCCUAAUUACUUACUCGCAUAAAGUAUUGGGUAUAGUCUGUUAUGAACUCCUACAAGUUGCUGCUGCUUCUUUCAGAUUUCCUUGUCAUUUAUUUUGCACGCGCUGCUGUUAGGUUUUGUAGGCAUCAAUAGGUUGCACGUUUGGAAUUGGAUGGUAAUGUAUGAAAUAUUUUCUCAGCUAUGAUAGUUUUUCAAUAAAACUGUGUCAUAUUAAUUAGAUUUGUGCUCUGGAUUCUUUUUUCUUUUUUUUUCGUGUACUAUCAAAACCUGUGUGCUGUUUUCUUCUUGAGAUAAUCUUUGAAAGUUGAUAUGGAAGCCCCUGUUUAUUGCCAAUAAAUUAUUGAUUGUUCUAUUGGGAUGGGGGAAAUUGAGUGAAUCUAAUAAGGCCUUAGAACUAAACUGAAUUGAACCACGUAUACCCUAAUCCUUUAAAACCGGUUGUUUUUACUCCAGUUUUUUAUAACCACUGCUCGAUACUGUUUAUUUGCUACUUGUGCAGUUCGAUGAUUUUUUAUUUUUAAAAACCAAACUGAACCUUUUGAUUUAAGAAAAAAAAAAAAACUUGAGUUUAACUUUCUCUGAUUGGGCUAAAACCUGAACCAUUGUAGUACAACCUACCAUAGCUUGUAUCACAUUCUCUCUCAAUUUUUGGUUUUCAUUCUCCAAUGGUGUUCUUCUUAGUUUAUGAAUUGUCUUGUGGUUAUGCCUUUUUCAAAUCUCAGGACCUUGAUGAAAUCAAGCAGAAAGUGGUUUUGUAAUUGUGUGUAUCUUCAAUCUGUGGCAAGUCAUGUUGGACUUGCAAAUUUGCCUCAUUGUGAAGUAGGUAGACUGUAGGAGUUCAAGGAUUUGAAUAAAGAAAGAGAAGCUUUAACCCAAGAUUUAGAUGAUGUUGUUUCAGUUGGUAGUCUGCUUUAACAUCACUGUUGUUCAUGACAUGAGGUGUUAAAAAAAGUGGGAUGAGAAAUAAUUGCAUGAAAGGAAAACAGUGUGUCAGUCAUAAAGCAGUGGUUAAACUAUUCUUGUGCAACUUUUAUUGUCCAGUAACUGAAGUAAACAAAUCCCUUUACAUAAUUCGCCUUUUUCCUUGCAAGUCAAUAACAAUUAUGGUUUAGUCACAUUUGCAGUUCAUCAGCUUAAUUUAGUUUUUUAGCCAAAACUAAACCAUGCUUGGCAUGAUUUUCACUGAGUAGUUUACUGUUGAUUAUUGAGACAGACAAUUUCCUGCUCUUCUAUGACAAACAUCUUUCUUAUUUGAGUUUAUAUAUCUAUAUCAAGUGAUCAACUAAAAGAUAGGUUCCCCCUUCUCUGUGUUUUGGUCAAAUUGACAUCUGAAUGUCAGAAUUUAAUGUACCCUGUUGUUAAUAUGAAGCACAUAUCCUUUUCAGUGGAUUACUUUGUUUUAUCAAAUGUUGACUUAUAAUUUUAUCUUCUGCAUUUGUUUUUUUUUUUUGGAGGGGUUUGGGGAGAUCAUUUUCUAAUCAUAUUAAUUGCAUUGGAAGAUGUGGACCAAUGGAAUUAAUGUAAAACCCUAGAGUAGUCUAACUAUGUAACUACCGUUAUUCAGUUUCUAGUCUUUUUGAGAUCUUCUAAUUGUUCUGAUUCUGUUACAGUGUUGGAGACUUGAUCUUAAGAGAAAUCAUAGUUUGUUUAAUUUCAAUUCUGAGCAAAGGCCAACAUGCAAGUUUUUCCCAGUGAAGGCGAAAGUGCUUUGUCAGUUGUUGGUCCAAGGCCAAUGGAAUGGUCUACUGUUCCAUACAAUGCCCCUCAAGCUCCUGGGCCAAAUGGAAAGCAGCGGACCUCAAGUUUAGAAUCACCAAUCAUGUUGCUGUCAGGUCACCAGAGUGCUAUAUAUACCAUGAAGUUCAAUCCAGCAGGAUCAGUCGUUGCAUCUGGAUCUCAUGACAGGGAAAUUUUCCUCUGGAAUGUGCAUGGGGAUUGCAAGAACUUCAUGGUUCUGAAAGGUCACAAGAAUGCAGUUUUAGAUCUUCACUGGACUACAGACGGGACACAAAUAGUCUCUGCCAGCCCGGACAAAACAGUGAGGGCAUGGGAUGUGGAAACAGGAAAACAAAUCAAAAAGAUGGUAGAACAUCUCUCAUAUGUUAAUUCAUGUUGUCCUUCCCGAAGGGGACCACCUCUUGUGGUGAGUGGCUCUGAUGACGGAACUGCUAAAUUAUGGGAUAUGCGUCAGAGGGGUUCCAUCCAAACAUUCCCAGAUAAAUACCAGAUUACGGCUGUUGGCUUCUCUGAUGCAUCGGAUAAGAUCUUCACUGGUGGUAUUGAUAAUGAUGUAAAGAUUUGGGAUUUGCGUAAAGGUGAAGUUACCAUGACACUACAAGGUCAUCAAGAUAUGAUUACUGCUAUGCAAUUGAGUCCUGAUGGGUCCUACCUUCUUACAAAUGGCAUGGAUUGCAAGCUUUGCAUUUGGGAUAUGCGUCCGUAUGCUCCACAAAAUCGGUGUGUGAAGGUGUUGGAAGGGCACCAACACAACUUUGAAAAGAACUUGUUGAAGUGUGGUUGGUCUCCUGAUGGAAGCAAGGUAACAGCUGGUAGUUCUGAUCGAAUGGUUUACAUCUGGGAUACCACUUCUCGCCGCAUCUUGUAUAAGCUUCCCGGUCACAAUGGAUCUGUUAAUGAGUGUGUUUUUCAUCCCAAUGAGCCUAUUAUUGGAUCUUGCAGCAGUGACAAGCAGAUUUAUCUUGGGGAGAUAUGAAGCACAACGUUUAGGAAAUGAAAUGAGCAUGUUGGUGCUUUUGACCACCAUUAGGGAGUGGUAAACUUUAGAAAUGCUGAAUUCCUUCUGUUGUUUCCUGGUCGAUCAAUUCAGUGACUAUAUAAUGUUCUUGCAAAAAUAUUAUAUAAUGUUGGUGCUUUUGUGAUUUGACGUUCGUGAGAAUGCCUCCAUUCAUCCAUUCUGAAUUUCAGGUCAUUUUGUUUAGGAGGGUGUUCUUAAGGUUUUUUUUUUUGUUUUCUGGAGAAUCAGAUUAACUUUAGAAAUGAAAUUUUUUAGAAAUACAUUCUUGAUAUACAGAUUUUGUAAAGCAUUAAUUAUUAUUAGGUAUAUUUCACGUAGAUCUUGUUAAAUGAUUCAUCAAGCUAUAAAAAAAGAAAGCAUUCUCACCAUUUAAGAUCUGAUGAUUAAUGACAAGAAUGUCUCCUUCUAUUUUUUUUUUCUUAUUCAAUCUUUUUACAUGAGAAUGAGAAGAAUAUAUAUGUGAUUUUUUAAGUCACAUAAAUUAUGUGUUUUUUAAAAGUCACAUAACAUUUUUAAGUAAUCAUAUGACUUUAAAUUUUAAUCAUUCAUAAUUUCAUGUAUAUAGUUUUGUGACUCAUAUAUAUUUGUUGUCAUGUAGACAUACGUCACAUGAUAGUGCCCCAUUCAUUUUCUUCUUUACCGAAAUGUAAAUAUCUUUCUACUUUUAAUUCAUAAAUUAGUUAAACAUUGUUGUAAAAUAUUUUUCAUAAAUUUUAAAAUUGUAAAAUUAUUAGUGUUUAUUAUUAUUAUUAUUAUUUAGCUAGCUUUCAUUUUCCAUGUUCUCCACUUUGAAUUUAUUUACGCUUAGUAAUAAAAUAUUUCUUGAAAGUUACGACAACAAUAUUUUAAGACAAUUUCUGAAUUAGUGCCUUGACUAUUUUCAAAAAUAAAAAAAAUAAUUUUUUUAAAACACAAUAUUUAGCAUAUUAUAUAUAUAUAUAUAUAUAUAUAUAUAUAUAUAUAUAUAUAUAUAUUAAAAGGCAAUUUUUUUAAAAAAAGAAUUCGGCACAGAGGUUAAAGAAAGAUACAUCAAGGAAUAACUCCCCUGUUACAAUAUGACUCCCAACAGAAUAACCCAUACACACCAAAACGCAACAGACAUACAAGGAACUACUAAUCAUCUAUUAUAUAACCCGAAAAAUGAGAAAAAAUCAUUUAGAAACUUUCCUUAUGAACAUAAAAGUCACCCAAAGCCUAUAUUAAUAGCAAUAUUAAGUAGUAUUUCUUAUUCUUAAAUUUAAGUAUUUAUCAUACUUAAUAAGAAAAUGUUUCAAAACUUUAUACAGAUUUAUUGAGUGACCUAACGAAGGUAUUAUAGUCUUUUCAGAUCAUUGAAACUUUUAUCCUAAUCCAAAAAAUUUGGAUGCUUACCUUGCCUUAAAGAACAAUUUGGCGGAAAAUAAAUGUCAAAUGUAUUUUCGAAAAAUAAUAUUUCUUGGCAAUGUACUCUUUUAAAAUUACGUACCAAACUUGAAAGUAUCAUUUCCAAUUUUAGGUUCACAAAAAACUAAAAAAAAAAACUUUCUUUCUGUCAAAUGCAUUUAAAGUAAUUAUUACAAAAUCAACAUUUUUCAAUUAUAUAAUUGUCCAUGUAUGAUUAGAUAAUGUAAAAAAAAAAACGUUAUCCAUCCAACAAAGUCCAAUACAAACUAAUUAGGAUUUUUGCAACCACACUCUUACACAUAACAAGGCUACUUGAUCAUGUUCAUGAAGAACCCUAAUUUCUCAUUCUUACCAAAAAUAAAAACGACAACAAUAUACAACUAAAGAGAUAGAAAAAAAAAAAAAACUUUAGAAAUUAAACAACAAACUGUUUCUGAACACGUGAAUUAGACUAAGGCACCUUUCAUAGCAACCUUCAAAGCCUCUCGAUUCUCGAUUGGCUGAGUCGUAGAUAGUCUUUUUGCUGGGAUCUCGUAUCUCUUAUAUCACCGAUACUUUGGGCCUAGCACAACACAAGAUCAAAUACUAAAGUUUUGGGGAAAAAUCUAAAACGUGUUCAAAAUGUACGCAUGCAUGGAUUACAACCAUUAGACAAACUGAAAAUGGUUUCCUAGGGUCUUCCUCCUAAAUGUCAAGUGUCAUUCCUCACAUGAAAAACUACAAAUCGCAAAUGAUUUUUGCUUAUUCCUAUUAUUCAUGAUCUUUUGAAACAAUUUUAAUGUCAAGCAAUUAAAUUAUAAAAUCUGAAAAACCACUUUGUUUACUUGUGUAUUAGCUAUAUCAAAUAUUAAUUAUUUAAUUUUAUAUAAGGGUAUACCAAUGACAUGUAAUGAGAAGACAAUUAUUUUGAUAGUUAUCCAGCUGAACAGUUAGUUGUUCAUGAGGACUAUUUAGUUAGUUGCUUGUUGUUGUGAUUGAAUAUUCUAUAUAACACCUUCAUCUUGUAUACUCUAGCAUCUAUGAGUUCCUUUACCAUGCUUAGUCAUCUAUUGCUCAGGUAUGACAAAUUAAAAUUAUGGAGCUAAAUAAACUUUGAUUAUGAUAGUCACCUUAUAUUAGUUAACUUACAUGGUUUUGGAGGCAAGGUAUUAGCUAAAUUAAAAUGUUUCAUAAAAUUGAUUUUUUAGCAAACGAAUAAAGAAGUUACUUAUUAUGCACGACAAUUAUCACAGCCUUUUCACCUUGUAAACUGCCUCAUAAAUAUCAUUUCUAUCCCCAAUGCUGAAGUAAAAAGCAUAUUAAGACAUUUUUUUUUUCAAGUUUUUAUAUACAAACAUUCAAAAUUUUAGAAGCCGUUUUUAAUAUUUGUCUAUGAAAUCACCUCCCAAUUUUAAAUACAGAUUCAAAAUUUUAGUUGCCAUUUUAGUAAACAAUGCAAACUAAGAAUGCAAUGGAAAAAAAAUAAAAGAAUUAAAUGUAAUCAACAAACAAAAUCUAAAUUAGUAUAAAUAAUAGUAAGACAAAUAACUAAAACUAUAAGCUAGUUUCACUAACCUCAACUAACAGGUGCUUCUCUGUUUACAAAUAUGUUGAAUUUCCCCAUAUAAGUAACAUACAGUUGGUCGGCCAGUCGAUCAAAGAACCGAUAGUAUUUAUGUCUCCAUUUCCUAAGAAGGAGCAAAGAACCACAAAAUCCCCAAAAUCCAACUGCAAAUCCAACUCCCAUCCCAAGAUAGAGUGAUUCCUUUUCAGAGUCACCAUCUGUAUUUUCUGUUGCAUUACCAUGAUUGUUGUCUUCUGUGUUACAUUUAGGAAGAGGAGCUCCACAAAGUUCUGGAUUCCCAAUAUAGCUUGAUGCAUCAAAACUCUGAAGUUGAGUACCUAUUGGGAUUUGUCCAGUAAAAUUGUUGCAUGACAUGUUCAAAUAACUCAGAAAAGACAGUGUAGUCAUGGUUUGUGGAAUUUCUCCAAAAAGCUUAUUAUUAGAGAGAUCAAGAGAUUCGAGAUUUUUCAUGCCUCCAAUGGUCUUUGGUAUUGUUCCAAUCAAAUGAUUGUAAGAUAAAUUCAACGUUUGAACUUGAAUCAGCCCAAAUAAUUCCAAAGGAAUUUCUCCAGUCAGGUUGUUAGCUGAAAGGUCAACAGUUGCCCUAGGCCACUUAAGAUUAUAUUCAUAAUCUUGACCUUUUGUAAACAAAUUGAUUAAGUCAUCAUCAACAAAGCUGUGUGAAAAUUCACUCCUAACCAUUUGGGUAAUGUUAUACGUAACCUGAGGUAUUGAUCCUGAAAGCUUAUUGUGGGCAAGAUCCAAGUGAGCUAGAAAAGAGAGAUUGAACAGUUGUGGUGGAAUACUACCCUCAAAGUGAUUAUAUCUCAAUAUCACCACUUGUAAAUUUUGUGGCAUGUUGAUCGGAAUAGUUCCAUAAAAUUCAUUUUUUCCCAGGUUCAUGACUUCUAAUCGCGUCAAGUUUGAGAGUUCCACAGGAACUUCACCAAAUAACUUAUUACUCCACAAGUUAAUAUAAAACAAAUAAUUCAAGUUCUGCCACCCAGGAGGAAUUGAUCCUGUGAAAGAGUUAUGAGAUAAAUCCACAUAUUGGACAUUUGAUAAUUGUGGGAGCCUUCCUGAGAAGUUAUUAUGGCGUAACUUUAUAAAGCUAGAAUUCAGCAUCACGUUCGAUAUGUCUUCAUUGAUUGAAUUGUUGGACAUAUCGAGCAUAAAAUAAUUUCCAGCUAUAAGUCUCUUAAACCUAUCUUCAUCCACAAAUGUAAUUCCCGAGCUUGAUAUAUCCAGAUACUCAAGUGAUUUUUGGGUAUAUAUCCAUGAUGGAAGUUUGGCACCUUGAUUUGUAUUAUCCAAAUCAAGCACUUUAAGUUGAAACAGAGGAACCCAUUCAGGAUUGAAAUGAAAUGCAAAACUUGAAUUGCUCAAGUGUAAAUAUUCUAAAUUGCGGAGUCUAGAAAAAUGAGUUUCAGAUAUUGUACCGGAAAAGGAAUUAGAACCAAUAUCUAGGAAAGUUAAGGAUGUGAGAUUUCCCAAACUCGAAGGAAUGGAACCAGAAAACAUGUUGUGGGAUAGAUCAAGGUAUUCCAAAUUUUGGUGGUUGAACAAACUUAAAGGUAUUUCACCAUGUAAACUACUCCAUGAAAGAUCGAGAUGAGAGAUGUCAUUACUGAGAUUAAACAGCCAACAUGGUAAUUCAGAGUUGAAAUUGUUAUAAGAAAGAUCAACAGUUACGAGUGAGGUAAGAUUCGCAGAAGGACUUAUGCUGGUUAGUUGACAAUCUCUCAAGUAUAAGUUUGAUAAUGAAGGAGGCAUAGCCAAAAGCCAGUUGGUUUCUUUGUGGAGAUCAGUCCCUCUGAGGUCAAGUUGUUUCAAGGAAGAAAGUUGAGAAAGCCAAUUAAGAUUAUCCAUGGAAAGAUUAUAACCACUCAAAGAUAAGUCAAGGUACUGGAGGUUAGAGUCAGAUAUGACAUCAUUGGGAAUAGAUGGAAUGCUAAUAGCAUUAAAGUUGUUCAUACUCAAAUCCAAGUGAUUUAGAAAUUCAAGUUCCAGCAAAGCUAAGUUCAUUUCACCUUCCAGAGAUUGUGUAGAUAGAUCAAGUUUUGUAACUCUGCUUGUGGUGUUGUCACACUGAACACCCUUCCAUGCACAACAGUCUUUUUCACUUGACCACGUCACGAGCUUGUUAUAUGGAUCACGAACAAUGCCUUGUUUGAAGAUUAGCAAUGUCUGUCGAUCCUUCUCAUUGCAACGAACCUCCCUAAGAUUAUUAGACAUACCUUUUUGGAAUGUGGAUGCAUAAAAAAGUAGGAGCAAAAGGAUUGAAGUUUGAGAAAUAGAGGACACCAUGAUUGGUGGAACAAGAGAAGGAUUGAUCGAUUCAAAUGAGAGUGUUGGGUAGUGAUGUCUCUCUAUUAACACUUUGCAGGCUCAAAAUGUAAUUAUAUAGAUUUUAGUUUUUCAGCCCCAAAAAGAAUAGAUUGUUUUGGGCUAGAAAAGUCUAAACUUGAAAUUUCUUGGAACUUUAUCUUUUAAAAGUGUUUUUUUUUCUACAAGAAACCGCGUCAAUGUGAUUUUUUUCCUACUAGAAUCUUUGACAAUUUGUGUAUUAGUAUGAAAAUAUUUAUUCGAUCUGUUUUUUAAUUAUUUUUUUCUUUUACUAUUUUUAAAGAUCUAGAAUUAUAAGAUUAAAUAAAAUUAACAAGUUUUGUCACAAGAUUUUGAAAAAGAAAUGAUUUCUUCAUAUUAAAAUUGCAAUAUUAUUUUGAGAACCAAUACAAAUGAUUUAAUUUAAUCUAAUUUUUUUUUCACGACUUUCAUUUUCAACAUGCUUAUUUUCUUUGUUCUCAAACCUAUCAUCCAAUAUCAACGAAAUUAGGUCUAAUAGAAGGGACCAGUUCUCACAUAUGCCUUUGAUUUCUCUGUUGGAAAUCUUUAGUGUUGAAUUCUUAUUUUAAUAUUUUUUAUUCUUUAUGUCAAAAAUCACAUGUCUUAAAAUCUAUAACAUUGUUUCAUGAAUUAGAAUAAAAUAUCUGAAUUCAUAAUAGGUUCCUAAUCAAUGCGUUCUUCAAUAAUUGUUGUGAGUGAUUUUAUGUUUCUUCCUCAGUUAUAGUCUAUUUAUUUCUCAAUGGAACCGGACCUUCGUAACUGUUCAGAUGAAGAAGAAAAAAUCGUGUCACUUCGAUAUAUUGGGAACCACAAUUUACUUAUAGUGCGUUAAUUUAAUAAGAUUCUCAUUAUCCUUUAAUAAUAUUUGUUCAUUUAAGCUCAUAUCACCAUAUUUGAUAGUCAACCAACUCACUUAAUUUGACCACAUAAAAUAAAGUCUACUAAUAAUAAAUAAUUAAUAUAAUUGUCUUAAAAUAUUAGUCCACAUUAAUUAUUGAAAUAGAAACUUCAAACAAUCUCUCAUUUGGACUACAUAUUAUAACAAUUAUAUCACAAUUUCUUAGACGUGCAUAGUAUCUUAGUUAUCGUUAGACUUUCACUUUAACAAUCUCAUCUAUCACAUGUAUUAAUAAUGGAAUCACCAUAACUUUCAUUAUUACAACAAACAUGACGACCCCAAUGGUCGUCACAUCAAUACACUCAAUGACAUAUAUUAAUAUGGAUGAGCAACAUAAAAAUUACAUGCAAUAUGAUCUCAAUCAUGUCUAUUUUCAACCGGUCCACUUAAGUCUUUAACGGGAUCAAUCUAAAGUCCUUAAGUGCAAUUUAAAUAUUGCACAUAAAUAAACAAGUUUCAUAAUAAACUUAUAAACCAUAAUCUUUAUUUGACAGAAAAUCAAAUAUAUGAAAUUCAAAUCCAAACACAGAACAUAUAGACUCUCACUAAACCAAGACAACGACUGAAAUAACACUAUAUGAGCAACAUGCUCAUGAAACCUUAUGUGUCAACCAUUAGUUAGUGGGCCAACUGGCAUAUUGUAUUUUCAUAUAUGUUCUAUCAAUAUCUUUAUUUUCUGAAUUCUUUCUUUAAUAAUCAAAUUCUUUAUGGCAAUAACCUUUGAUCUGGUUGAACUCUUAUUAUUGUUGGAGUACAACACUACUAAAUUAUUGUCACAAUAAAUCUUUGAUGGCCUCUUAAUGUUGGUAAUAAUGGGCAAGCUAAUGACAAAAUUUAGCUAUCAUAUCUUUUGGUUUGAUGCCUCAUAACAAGAUAUUAACUCCAUCACCAUGGUUAAAGAUGUAUCUUGAUGUGGAGUGGCUACUAUUUGGGCAUCCCACAAAAUCGGAGUUAGAAUACCUAAUGAUCUCUAACCUGUCAAACUUUCGAUAUGUAAGCAUGUAGUUUUCUUUAAAUAAUGUAUUAUGCACUUUACUACUUUUUAGUGUAGCAUACCAUGAUUACUCACAUAUCUUCCUAAGACUCCCACUAAAAUGCUAUGUUGGGACGAAAACAAACUUAAACAUACAUAAGACUCCCCAUAAGUAAAGCAUGAUGAAUAUAUUUUCCAUCUCUUCCUUUUUCCAAGAUAACUAAUGGAGCAUUGUUUGAGACUAAACUUGUCUCCUUUAACAAUGAAUGUAUCUUCUAGUUGACUAUCUUUCAUGUUGAAUACAUCCAAAACUGUAUUGGUAAUUCUUUUGUGACAAUACGACUAUAUUAUGACUAGAGAGAUGUCAUUAACAUAUAAUAUCAAAAGGAAAAAUUGACUUUCAUUGAACUUUUGGUAUAUGCAAUCAUUAAUCAAAAUUGCAUCAAAGCCAUAAGAUACAAUAACUUGGUGAAAUUUAUAAUACCAUUGACGGGAAGCCUAUUUAUAGUCAUAGAUAGAUUCCUUUAGUUUGCAUACCAUAAACUUUGAAUCAUCUUAAGAAAGUUUUUUGGUUGUUCCAUAUUGUUUCAUCAAUGUUGCCACUUAGAAACAUAGCAUUUACAUCCAUUUAAUGCAUCACAACUCUAAAUCAAAAUGAGUUAUCAAUGUCAUUAUAGUCGUUAGAAAGUCUUUCUAUAAAACUCGAGAAAAAAUUUAUACCUAUGAGAGUAUAAAACUUCCUCAAGGAAUCUUGCAUUCCCAUCUUAAAUAAGAAUCUUGUAGUGGGAUUGAAAAACUUAUACUCAUAGGAGUGUUCAAUGUAACCAACAAAGUAGCAACUAAUUGUCUUUAAGUCUAGCUUACUUUCAUGCAACCUACAAGGCCUUGCUUCAGUUGGAUAUCCCCAAAUGUGAAUAUGCCUAAUGUUGAGCCUUUUCUUAAUCCAUAGCUCAUAAGGGGUCUUAGUAACUACUUUAUUUUGUACCCUAUUAAAGAUAUAAACUAAGAUAUUUAAUGUCUCUUCUCAAAGUGACUUUGGUAAAGAAGAGUAUGUGACUAAUCAUACUUCUUAUCAUAUCCUUAAGAGUCUAGUUUCGUGAUUUUGCAUAUCCAUUCAUGUUAGGUUUGACCAACAUUGUAUAUUGUAGAAAAAUUUCACACUCAUUAAGGAAAAACGUGAAGGGCUCUAGAUGUUGCUCACCUUAUCCAUCAUAUAUACCAUAGUAUUUACUACUAUGACCAGAUAUAAUAGCCUUAAUUUCCUUUUUUAAUUUAAGUUUAAAUUUAUCUUUGAAGGACUUAAAAGUGUUUAGAAAUUGAGACUCUUUGUGAAUUAAAUAAAGAAUAACUAUGUAUGAACAUAAUAAAAUACUUUUGGCACCUAAAUUUCUUUUGUUUGUUUAUUUUCCCUUAAUAUACUCAAUGUAGACUUUAAUGUCUAACCAAUCUAAGGGAUCAAGAAUUUUCUCCGACAUAAGCCUUUGAGCUAUCUAGUUAAAGAUAUGACAUAAGCAUUUAUACUACAAAGUGGUGGAAUUCUCAUUAAAUUUACAUUUUGUACCACAUGAAUAUGUUUGCAAUAGGAACACUCAAUAUCAAUUAAAGAUUCAUAAUCAACAUUUGAAUCAUAAGAGAGACUAACUUUAUUAUUUCUAAAUGAACAAUAAUAACCGAAUUUGUCCAAAAUAUAAAUAUAAAUUAACUUCCAUCUAGCAUAUGAUGCAACAUAUGUCUCAACCAAAUCCAAAUGAAAAUAAGUCUUUAAAGCAACCAAAAAGUUUCUAUAGCUUCAAUUGGAACUUUACUGUCAUUAUCCAUAUAGAUGAAUCUUUCAACUUCACUUAGCAAAUGACUGCACAUGCAACCUUGCAUUGUGUGAGUAGUAGCACUAGAAUCUACCCAACAAAUGUCCUUUAGUACAAAAACUAAAUGAACUUUAGAACAAAAAAAAGUGAGAAGUUUACCCUUCUUCUCACACCAAGUUGUGUACUUGGGACACUUUUACUUCAUAUGUUUCACCUUCUUACAAAAGUAACAAAUAAAGUCCUUAUUUUACUCUUUUGUUUCUUUUUUAAUUGAGAACAAUUUUAAGCAAUAUAUAUCCUCAACUCUCUUUCUUUUCUUAUUCUAAGAACGACUUGGUUUGAUCUAGGUUCACGAUAAAGAAUAGAACCUAGUUUAAUCUAGCAUCAUGAUAAAUAAAACCCCAUUAGAGUUUUCUAUAGUUAAAAGGGUUGAUUCAUCUAAUUCCAUGCAAUUUAAAAAAAAUAUCAACUAGCUCCUUUAAAAUAAAAAUGUAAAAUAAAAAGCUUUGGAAUUCCCAAAAAACCAUGUGGAAAAAAAGAGUAGUAAUAACAACUAAAGAGAGAACAAUAACAAUUAAUCUUUAUGAUAGAUUUAAGGACCCAAACAAGAUACCUAACGUACCAUUAAUCCCCAAUCUUUGUAUUAAAAAUACUAAUUGCAAGUGGGAAUACCACUAAGUGAAAAAUGCAAAUUACCGACAAUCGAUAAACAUUCAUCCCAAAAUCCAUCGGUAACUCUGAUUUUUUCAACGGAUUACUGACGAACAAAAUUCCAUCGGUAAUAUUGUCGUCACAAAAAACAUCCAUCGGUAAUUUCUGACAAAUUAUCAAUAGAAAAUAUUGGUUGAUACAUACUGAUGGAUGAUUUGAUGGUAAAGAUCAACUAGUUUAUCGAUAACUAUCUAUCGGUAAUUACUGACUGAUAUAUAUUCGUCAAUAAUUACAUACACAUACUUUUUUAUAAAUUACUUGACAAAUUAUCUGUCAGUAACAAAUAUUUUUAAAAAAAAUAUUUCCUAUAUAUUUGUUUUUAAACCAUUUAUUUUUUAUAAGCAUAAAUAAAAAUAAAAUAUAAAUACAUUCUCUACUUGACUUGAACCAAUCUUAACAAUAUGAAAAUCUUGUUCAUUUAGAUAUUUUAACAAUCCAUUGGCAAAAAAUUUAUGCAUCCUAAUAAAAACUUUUUCCCAUUUAAUUUUUUAACCAAGGGAACUGAUUAGCAUUUUCCAUUAAUAUAAAUAGCAAGAUAAAUAACCAUAUAAGUAACAUACAGUUGGUCGGACAGUCGAUCAAAGAACCAAUAGUAUUUAUGUUUCCACUUCCUAAGAAGGAGCAAAGAACCACAAAUACCCCAAAAUCCAACUCCCAUCCCAAGAUACAAUGAUUCAUUUUCAGAGUCACGAUCUAUAUUUUUUAUUUAUUGCAUUGCGUUCCUAGGAUUUUUGUCUACUAUGCUACACUUUGGAAGAGGAAUUCCAUAAGUUCUGGAUUCUCAAAAUACGUUGAUGCAUCAAAACUCUGAAGUUAAGUCCCUAUUGGGAUUUGUCUAGUAAAAUUGUUGCAUGAUAGGUUCAAAUAACCCAGAAAAGACAAAGUAGCCAUGUUUUCUAGAAUUUCUCUAAAAAGCAUAUUAUUAGAGAGAUCAAGAGACUCCAAUUUUUCCAUGCCUCCAAUUGUCUCUGAUAUCAUUCCAGUCAAAUGAUUGUAAGAUAAAUUUUGAGGGAAUCUCUCCGAACAAGGUGUUGGCUGAAAGGUCAAUAGUUUGUCUAUGUCAGUCGAGAUUAUAUUCAUAAACUUGACCUAGUGUAAACAAAUUGAUUAAGUUAUCAUCAACACACAUGAAUGGGAAAUUAUUACCCUUAGCCAUUUUGGUACCAUUAUACACAACCUGAGGUGUUGAUCUUGAAAGUUUGUUGUGGGCAAGAUCUAAGUGCAUAAGAGAAGAGAGAUUGAAUAUUUAUGGUGGAAUACUUCCCUUAAAUUUAUUGGAUCUCAAUAUCAGCACAUCUAAUUUUCGAUGUUGAUCGGUAUAGUUCCGAAAAAUUUAUUAUUUCCUAGGUUCAUAACUACUAAAUGCUUCGAGUUUGAGAGUUCCACCAGAAGAACUUCACCAAAUAACUUAUUACUCCACAAGUUGAUAUAAACCAAACCUUUCAAGUUCUCCCAACCACAAGGAAUUGAUCCUGUGAAAGAGUUAUGGGAUAAAUCCAAAUAUUGGACAUUUGGUGAUAAAUAUGGGAGCCUUCCUAUGAAAUUAUUAUGGCCAAACUUUAUCUCGUAAGAAUUUAGCAAUAUGCUAGAUAUAUCUUCACUGAUUGAAUUGUCGGACAUAUCAAACUUACUAGGGUCAGCCCUGAAGGUUGUCUGGAGGUGCCCUGGCACUAGGCCAAUAAAUGGAAGGGGCUCCAAAAACAAAUUUAAGUUUAAUAUUUUAGAAAAAAAAAUGUUUUAUGUUAUUAUCUAUUACGUUUCACUGCUUCCUCUGCUUCUAGUUUGAGUGGUUUCGUUUCAACUUCUUAUUUCAAUGACUCAACCUCGAAUUUCAAUUUUCAAGCACCAAUUUAUAAACAAUUCAAAAUUAAAUUUACACCAACACAUUAAACAGCCUCCACCAUUUUCUAGGUUUUGUGGCAAUAGAAACAUUAUUUCUAUGAUAAAAAGCAUGGAUGAGAGAAAUAGAACUAAGAAAAAGAAGAAUAGUGAUACAAUUGAUACUCCGAUUCUAGAUAUUAUACAAUCCAUACUCAUUAGAUUCUUACAAAGCCUUAAGCCAAUGCUUGAACUCAACCCACGAUUCAGGACCAAAUCUUCUUUUUGCAUUUGUAAUCACUUACGAUUAAUGACGAUGGUGGCACGGUGUGACUCAAGACGGCGAGACAACAACCAUUCUAAUUCUUCUAUUUCUAUAAUUGGUUUAUGGUAUGGACGAGGAAGGAGUUUGAAGAAAGGAAAAAAGAAAAGGACAAAAAUUAUUUUGUCACAAAAAAAUAUAUAUUAAAAAACCAGUCAUCAAGUUUCCUUAAUUGAAUCUCAGCCACUGAAUAUUUCAGUAAUAUAUCCAAUGGGCAUUUCUUGCUCCUCACAGUGAGGGAGUAACUUCAUUACUUCACCAUAGAAGUCACCUCGGGAGUUGUUUAUGGUUUCAAAGAAAAGCAUUCCACCAAACCAUAUGGUAGUAGCAGAAACUGCCGUAUCUGAGGGAUGUAGGUAAAGAAAUGGGCCACUCUUACACAGUGGAGCCCAUUCACAAGUAAAGAUGGGUAGGGAAGUGGACACUAGUGAGAAACAUUUAGGCCUAAGUCCUUAGAGCAUCUUUAGUGGGAGAUACCAAAUUGGGAUCUUAGAUCACUUUUUGGUGGACCCUACAGUAUCACGUAGGAUUAAAGAUCUCUCCCAUUUUUUCCUUUAGUAGUAAAUCUCAUUUUAGGAUCUUAGAUAACUCUAGUAGGUUUUACAUUGACCCCACUUUUAAAUAUUUUAUUUCAAUCUUCCUCUCUCUCCUCACUUAUCUUAUUCUUUCCUCUCUCUCCUCGACCCCUUCUCUUCCUCACCCGCGACCCCUUCUUCCCCACUUCUUUUUCCCCCUUCCCCCUUCUCCUUCGUGCGAUCACCCAUUCCCCUCCACUGCGACCCCCUCUUCCCCUUUCCCCUUUCCCCUCCUCCGUGCAACCCCUUUCCUCUUGGUAUUUUUUGUUGUUGUUUUUUUUCCUUCAUCUUCAUCUCCUUCUGUUGUUGCAUUCUUGCAUUCCAACUAUUCUUCUUCCUCCCGCGUUUUACUGUUACCGUCAGGAGUUUGAAACAAUUUUUUUUUUAAAUUGUUUGGAUCUACACAGUUCUUCCCCAAGAAUUGGAUCUCCAACAUGGAGAUCUUUAAGGGUACUUUAUUACUGGAUUUAGGGAAGACCAGAUCUUCAGCUUAAGAUCUAUCCCCAAGAUCCAACAUUAAAGAUGCUCUUAUGGGCUACAUAAUGUGAACAAGGAGAAGGAAAAUUUAGGAGACAUCAUGUGCUAAGACCAGGAUACCUACAUUCUUCUUCAUAUUAGUAAUGACGAAAGUCUUAGGGACUUAAAAGAAAUACCACAAAGCAUGGUCACGUCUCUCCCGGUCAAAGGGUCCCACAAAAAGAGCUUAGCUUCAUGCAACAGAUUGACACAUGGAGUUGUAUGAGAAAACAACAAACUCAGCCUAAUGCUCAUGGUAGAGGUGCAAGUCAUAUAAUUGGAGGGGACAUCAAAGGGAGUGAAUAAUAAAGGAAUAAUGAAGGCAUCUAAGAGGAAGGAAUUAAGGGUAUUAUGCCACUCUAUCCGUAAUUCCUUACCAAACAACCCAAUCAACUCAUGCAAAAAUGUCUCUUUAUUGAAAGCUUGUGACUUUCAUUGUUAUCAUAUUUAAAAUAUCAUAAUAAUAAUAAUAAAAAUAUUUACACUUAUAUUUAAAAUAUAUUAUUGUAAUGUAUUAUGUAAUAUUGCAAAAUUGUAUUAUUUUAAAUAUUAUAUAUUGCAAUAAUAUUUCUUAACUUAUUUAUACUUCAUUUUUUUGUGUUUUUUUGCAUAUUAAAAGUUGAAAAUUACAUAUAACCAUAGAACUAAAAAAAUAAUUGGAUACAAUUAAAAAAAAUAAGUAAAAUCUUCUGAUAUUUAUAUUUAAUUAGAAAAAAUAAUCUAGGUAAGAGUAUCUUUUAGUGACAUCAAGUCUCGUGUCACUAGAGUGUGUGUAGUUAUAUGACAUUUUUUUUUGGUAAUGAGUAAAAAAUAUUUAAAUAGAUUUUAAAGAUUUUUUAAAUGAUAUGAUUAUUUCUAAAUUAAAAAAAUGUGUAGAGUAAAAAACUAAAUAUAUAUUCAAAGUCGAUUUAGGCAAAUUAUAUUUGAAAUUACUUUAAUUCAAUCUAAUUAUAAAUAAAGACUCACUUUUUAAUUUUUCCUUUUUUCUUCACUUUAUAUAAAUAUUCAAACUUUAUUAACCAUUACGUUUAUUAAUAUCUUUAAAAAUAAUGGUAAAAGAAUACAAUUAUUUUUUAUUAAAAUUAUUAUAUUUAAUAUUUGACCUCUACAUACUUAUUAUAACUUCAAAAAAUGUUUUUCAACAAAAAAAAAGUUUGUCAAAUAUAAUAAACUAUUAACGGUAUUGUUGUUUUUUUUUUACAUAAUGGUAUUAUUGUUAUGAAAUAUAAGAAGAAUGCAUUAAAAUAAUGUUCUAAUUUAAUACUCAAUAUUUUAACUUCUUUUUUUACGAUCAUAUAUUUGCCAAACAUUUAUAUUCAACAUUAUUCAUUAAAUAAAUUUAAUUAAUUAAAAAUAAAAUACCUUUAAUUGAAAACAUUAGUAAUUGUUAAUCAAUUCAUGUCUUUGUAAUAAAAGAGGUUGGCUAGUUUCAAAUGUCUGAACCUCCUUUGCUAAUAGGUUGACGGAGUAAAAAGUAAAAAAUUAAAUAAAUUUUUUUUGAAAUUGUUAAUCAAUUUAAUAUUAAAUGUGUGUAAUCAAUUAUUACUUAAUGCUAAAAAUUUGAAAUAAUAAAUAUUUACCAUAUUGUUAAUAUUAUUUUUAUAUCAUAGUCAAAUUUUAUCAAAACAAUGAGAGAAAUUUUCAAUCAAAACUACACACAAAUAACUAUUUAAUCACUUUUUCAGGCUUAACAUUGCACACAAAUCCUCACAUUGUCUCUUAUUCUAAGUUUACAGGCACUUGUUUUUCUUUCUCAAUAUCUUUUCCUUUGUUUCACAUUACAAACUUUGUCAUGGAAUUCAAAUAUUGUGAUGGCCAAAAUGGAAUGACAACAUUAUCACUGUCGAAACCUCUUUUACAAGGUAAUGCUCAUGUCAUCACAUUUCUUUCAAGAUAUAUAACUAUUUGUUUUGUAGUUUAAAAAUGAAAAAGUUUUAUCACAUGAGUUCAUUUUAUUCAUUAUUUGCAUUCUAGGGUGUGAGUUUGCGCUAGGUGGCUUUUCCGACAAUGUUAUGGGGCAUAGAGUUUUUCCAAUGACAGUGCAAAUUAAUACUGAAGAAGCAUUCCAAUGAAAGUUACAGAAAGAGCAUAUACAAUAAGAGGGAGAGAAAGAGAAAAUCAGGAGAGAGAUAAUUGUCAGUGAGAUAGUAUUAGCACGACAACAAGAGCUUCAAGAGGAAGUAAGGAGGGAAAUUGUGCCAGAGAGAGCAUUCAAAAUCUCAAUGCAAAUAUAAAAGGGAAUAACAAUUUUAACAUGUUUGGUGGGUCCCAAAUCCAUUUACCCUUCCAUUUCCUACUUGAUAACAUACACUCUUCUACAUAGAUUGACAAGGAUAAAGUACUCCAACUAGUUAGUGUAUAGUCUUGUGUUUCAGUUUACUCUUUCUUUGUGUCUUUAUCUUUCUCUUCAAUUUCAAUUUUCUUUUCUUUCUUCUUCCUUAGUGUUGUUUGGAUUAUGAAGGUUUUUCUCUUUAAGUUUUUUUUUUUAUAUUAAAAAUGGUUACCUUGUUUAAGAAUGUUCCUUGAAUAUUUUGUCGUGUUGAAGCUCUUAUUUGGUCGGUGAGCAUAAAUGAUUUUGUUUUGUCCCAUUGCAGGCUGGACCAAAUAUUGAUCAUUGUGGUGGAAAGCGCAAAGUAAUGACACCUAUAAGUGAUGUCAAUGAGAGUUUGCAAAAGAAAGUCUAGCAAGAGUGGAGUUGUGAAUUGUGUCAAAUUACUACAACGAGCCAGAAAAGGCUUGAAACAUCAUAUUCAGGGGAAAAAGCAUAAGGCUAAGGCCUCUAUGAGAACUCUUAAAAUAGGUAAGAGCAACAACACACCAUUAUCAUUAAAGAACAAUAAACAUUGAGUGGGAUGUACUAAAGCCAUUUUUACCAAGUAUUCACGGUUAUAUUCCAUAUUAGAAGGACAUACCCUUCAUCCUUACUUAACCCCUACACACACAAAAAGGCAAGCUUGAAUAUAGAGAAACUCUAUAGAAGGGUUCAACUUGGAGUAUUUACAACUUAGGAGAGAUUUGAAGUUUUCUUAGAUUUUCUCUUCUUUGAUCAGUACUUUUUCCUUCUCUUUUAUGUUUUCUUUGAGAUUAUUCUUGACGAUGUGUGAGUAGUCCUCUUUGUUAUAGAAUUAGGGCAUAGCCCUUGACAAUUGUUUUAUGCUAAUUUAAUUUAUUUGAGGUUUUCUUUAAUUUUGUCUUCUAAUUCUUCUGUUAUUGCAAUUUAUACAUAUUAGAUGCCUAAUCACCAUUUUGCGUUAUUUUAGAUGCUUGGGGAUGAACUAAAAGGUGAGCCAUCAUGUUAGAACCAUACGAGAAGAACUUAAGUUUUAAUUCACAACAGUAGACUUAAUCUUAGGCGAAUAAAAUGAAUUAGUAAAGAAUGUAACGGGGGUUUAAUUGAACAUAACAUGCAUAACGAUAGUAUGAAUUAAUUCAAUUAGACACAUCUUUGUUUUUUGAUAGAGCAGAGAUCACAUUAGAUUAAUUCGCCAUUAGAAGAUAAAUUAGAAAGAUCAUUGAAUUAAUAUAUUAAUUGAAUAAGAGUCUUGGUGUGAAAUCUUGAUUCCAAAAUUUUUCAAUUUUGAAUCUUAUUCAAAAUAUAUAUUUUUCUUUUAUCUUUAUCUUCUAUCUAAUAUUAUUCUUUACCUGUUUAAAUUAAAUAUUAUGCAAAUCAAAUUUUAAUCUUUUCUUAGUUAUUUAGUUUAUAUUUUUAAUUGUGAUAAUUGUUAAGUCCAAAAACACAAUUAUUGUGGAUUCGAUAUUAUUACUUGAUGACUACUGCACACUUUUGAUUUUCUCACAUCAAUUGCAUCUUCAUUUCAUGUCAAUUUUCUCGUUAAAUAUAUAAUUAUCUUUGAUUAAUAUAGUCGUUAUUGACUCAAUUUUUUUCAACACAAAAAAGUUUAAUACUUUAAACAUUAUGUUUAGCUAAAAGUGAAGACACACGUUUUUAGUAAUUUGAAUGUUCAUCCCUGAAUUUCAAGGCAUAAAAUAAAAAAGAAAAAAUUAUUACUUUGAAAAUAAAAAUACUGUUAAAUUCUCCCAAUUGACAUUGAAACAUAACUAAAAUGAUUUGGUUUUAUUUCCCUUUGCACGUGCUCAUUUAUAAGUGCAAUCAGAUUACGGUGUUUAGUUUUUUGUUGAGCAUCAAUGGUACUUGUGUGAUAAAUUCAUGUUGAAUGUUAAUUUGAGGCCUGAAAAUGAAAAACCAACCAUACUUAUUCAUAGGAAAAGAAUACCAAAACUGAAGUGAGGUAAAUGAUUUUUUUUUUGUGAAGUCUAGCUUUUUUACUACUUAAAAGUUCUUUUAAAUUAAAAUAAAAUUAAAAGGUUUUAAAGAAAAAAAGUAAAGACUGGUUGCAAAUUUUCUUUUUUUUUAGCUUGAAAGAUCCUUUUAAAUCAAAAUUUGUUUGAUAAAAUUUUUCAAAAUUUAGUUUUAUUUAAAACUAAUUGUAUGAUUUAUUGUAAAAGUAUAUUUAUAAAAUAAAAACAUUGUGUAAAUUAAUUUAAUUUACAUAAAAUUACUUUGGUUAAAAAAUUGUUUAAUAAAAAUUUGAAAAAUCACCUCGUUAAUGAAAUCAGAGUUAUUAAACGUAAAUACUUUUUUUUUUCUAGGAGAUUGGUUUUCUUUUCAUGUCAUUUAAAUAUAAGGGAGCAUUGGUUCGUUAAAAGUCAAAAGAAAAAAAAAGUAAUAAGUUAUUAAAAAGAAUGUAAAACCAACAUAGCAGGAUUCCGAGACUAUUCUUAUUGAUAAUUAAUAUGUCACCGGAAAGUAAACAGUAAGUCUGAGAACAUAACUUCUAUUAAGCUCUCUUUUUUUCUUUAUUAUAAACAAAGUCUUUUUACUUUUAAGAAUUUUUGUGAAAACAUAUUUGAUCUAACUUUUUAAAAACAAAACAAAAAAAAAAAAAGACCAAACACUACCUAGUUGCAAUGUUUUCUCGAAAGUUCAUUCUCUUUUCUUGACAAUUAGUUAAGAUGGAUCAAUAUGGCUAAACACUCUGACUGAUCAACCAUGUGCUCAAAACUAGCUAGCCACAUAGUCCGUCAUUUCUUACAUAAAAAUUCGAGGCGUACAUUUAAUUAAAAUACAAAAAUGAAGUUUAAAGAAAUUUGUAUUCACCUUUGAAUUUGUCAAUUUAUUAUUGGAAGACAUGAAGUAUCAAUGGCAUCUGUUGUAAAGCAUUUUGUUAGUUUUCACCUGUAAAUUUAUGUCAAGUUAAUAUAUUUAUAGUAAUUGAUAUCAGUUGUAAAAGAUCACAUGACAUCUUAAUAUAUAUAUAUAUAUAUAUAUAUAUAUAUAUAUAUAUAUAUAUAUAUAUAUAUAUAUAUAUAUAUAUAUAUAUAUUCUUGGGCUUAAUUAAGGGAUUGGCUGAUUUUUUUUUUUUACAGCAGCAUAACAUUUAAAUCUUAAUGGUAAGAGCAAUACAAUGUGGGUAUCAAGUGAUAAAAUGAUGGACUAACCUUGUCAAUAGCUACCCUUGCAGAAACAAAGGCAAUUAUAUUAGCUUGUCAAUAAAAUUAAGCUUCAUAAAUAAAGUGAUGAUAACAAUUGGGAAGGAAGUCUAUGCAAAUGAAAAACAAAAUUACGAAAGUAACAAUAUUCUAUAAAUAUAUACAUCAUAUUAGUUUUCAUGCAUCAUGUAAUAUUUUAUGCUGAUUUUAUUGCAUGAAUCUUCCCAACCUAUAUUUGUUAUACAAGCAAAUAAUAUUCCAUCUUUAAUACAUCUGCGACUAAAAUCACAAUAAAGCCCAACUUUAUGCUUUUCUAUAGUGGGGAUCUUUAGUACCUGAGUGUAGUGCUUGUGCCUAAUAUAUGGAAAGGUUGCCAUGGUAAAGAGGAACUCAACACUUGGUAUAUCUGCUGAAAAUGAUGAAAAUGCUAGUAAGUGGAUUCAUUUUGUCCUUUAUGUUAUUUAGUAAAUUCAUUUUAGUGCUCAUUUAUUUUAAAAGGUUCAAAGUUAUCUUUUAGGUUUUUACAAAUGUUCAAAAUGUCCUAUUAACAUUUUCUGUUAUUAAUGUGACGAUAAGGAUUAAUUUGAAUUGUUUUCAAGAUGUAAAGCACCAAAUUGGAUUGUUUGGAAAAAAGUGUAAAAUAGAAGAUCAAAAAGUGGAUUUUAGAAGGAAAAAAAAAACAUUCAACCCCUCUUUGAGUAGAUAUCCAAAUCCGUCCCUCAACAUAGAUCAUUAAUGCCAACCAUUAUUACAUGAGUUAAUCAAGAAAAAUCUGAUUUUAAUCGAAAAAUAACACCCCAAAACAGGUAAGAUGAUAGUAGUAGUAGUAUAACUUAGUUUUAUCAAUUACUCACAACAAUCUUAAUUUCGCAUUAUCGAUCUUGUAGAUCAAUUACACAUAAUUUUGUUUUUUGAAAGAUAAUUAUGUUUUUUUAAGAACAAUUAAUUUUUGGAUCAUGUGGUACAAUUUUUUUUAAUCAAUUUAAAGUGUACACAACUUACCAUCAUUGUGUGUCUCGUGAAAAAAAAAUGAAAAAAAAGAAAAAAUAUAAUUGGUGUGUUAGUUAUACGUGUUCCUCUACGUUCAGACCCGAUCGAUGUUACACAAUCUCAUGCGGUGUUUCUUGAAGAAGACUUUAAGAAGAGAAUUUCAAUUUUUCACCUUUUAGAAGGAAAUUGAAAUUUCAGAUUUUUAGUUAUUUAAAAUUUUAUUUUAAAAUUCCAAAAUUUUAAAUUCUUCACAAAAAAACAUCCAAACAAUGAAUUCUAAAUUACAAAAAUUCAAAUUCUCUACUUUCAUCAGUUAAAAUUCUCUAUCCAACCAUAAUAUUCUAAAGUUAAGGUAAAAAAUUUCACAAGUACAUACAUAAGUACUCUGUUGCCACGUGCAGCGUCUCCCGUCACGUGCCCGUAUCCACGAGACCGUGACGACUCUCUCCUCUCACACAAUGUUCUGAAACCAAAUCGCUGAGUACUCUGAGUAAGUAGCGAACGAAAGUGAGAGUGAAUGAUUUCCCAUUUCCCAACGACAAUGGCAAAAACCGCGAAACCCUAACCCCAAAACCCCUUUCAGCAAAUUCUCCACUGUCUUCAAAAGCCACGGCGCCAUGGACUUCGAUCACCACCUCACGGAGCUUUCCGCCUCCUCGCCGUUCAUUCCAUCCGGCGAGGACUUCCACUUCUACUACAAAUUCAGGAACUUCCGCCGCCCGAUCGAGGAAAUUGCGAGGAGAACGCAGUCGAUGCUCGACAGAAUCGGCUCCGCGGAGAACAUUUGGGGCAGAGGCUCGGCGUUCCCCGGUGACGUCGACGACGCGUACGAGUGGCUCGUGAACGCGAAUGACGACGUUUUGGAGCUGGUGGAGGAGCUGGUGGACGAGUUGCGGAUGCUCAAGAAGGACGAGGGAGAGGAAUGUGACGGCGCGAAUCCGAAAGUGCCGUUUCAUAUACCGACGAUCAAGAAGCCCCAGUAUGCGUACAACAUUGUGGUUGAUAAUUCAAACGAGCCUUUUGAGCAUAUUUUGUUGGAGAAGAGUGAUGAUGGUCAGCGUUACAUUCAUCCACUGGUUCGUUCACUAACACUGAAUUUCCAAAAAAUUAAUCUGACUCUGGUCUGGUUUUAGUGUUUUUGACGUGUUGCAGAUGGAAAAGAAUUGUUGUUUUGAGUUAUAUUGAUGUUUAAAUUGGGGUUCUCGUUUACUGUUAAAAUGGUGUCUCGUAUUUGCUUAUGUUAGAAAGAAAUGGAUUUCAAAGAUGGGUAUGGUGUUGGUGUUUAUGUAUGAAGUUGUUUCAUGAUAGGCUAAUGGUGCUUGAGUAUUUGAUGAGUCUAGCUUGCAUGCAGUUGUGACAUGGUCUUAUUGAAUUGGAAAGUUAAAAACUUGGGAUGAUUAGAAGCAUAUUUCUGUUACAUUGAGUAUUUUUUAUACUCUGGUUUAUGGGCAUGCAAACAUGUAUCUAUGCACGCAAAUGCAGCAUAAAUUUCAGUAAUAUUUGGCAUCCAAACUAUCCAUGAUGAUGUCAGAAGCUAAGAACUUUUUUAUUGCCACUAUAGUAUGCUAUUAAGUGCUCAUCUUUGGUAACAUUCUGUUUAUUUUAUUCAUUAUUUGGUUCUUCAGACAGCACAUAAUAAAAUCAAACCAUGAGAUAAGAAACUCUUGUUUCAGCUAGAAUAUUGGGCUUCACAUUUGAGAAUGGCAUUAGUUAGAUUCUACUGCUUUCCUUUGAUUGCAAUGCUCAGAAUAUAUGAGGUUAUAUAAAGAAAGCCUUUUUGGUAUAAGAGAACCGAGCAGUGGCAGAAUGGGGGUAAACAAUGGGACCAAACUGGCAAAUUCUUAGAGGAGUUUUGGAGGGAUGCAAAACAGUGUGAAUGAUACCAACAAAACUUUUACUAGGAAAAGGGAUGCCUAUGGAGGAAGUGCGACUGUAGGAGCUGGAGUCAAAGAAUCCAAUAAUGGAGUCAAGCAAUGUGAAACAAGGAGAAAAUACGAGGUUGGCAAAUGCAAAAAUGCAAGAGAAGAUAAAGAGAGGGAAUGUUUUAGAUGUGACAAGAAAAUUCAGUCAAGAUCAUAUAUGCAAAAUCAAGCAGCUUAGAGUCAUGGUAUUGAUGGAGGAGUAAGGAGAGGUGGGAGAUUGUGAUAGUCCAAGAGAAGAGGGGAAUUUCAGCUAUCAUUGCAUAGUGUAGCUGGAUUCACAUCAAGAAGGUCCCUCAUAUUGUGGGGCAGUGGCUGGAAGAAAUUGUGCUAAUAGACUGUGGAGCAACACACAAUUGUAUCGCAUAUCAAUUGGUAUCAAAGCUCAAAAAGGGCUACUUAUGGAGGGCUUGACAAUAAAGACUAAGUGAAACAUCAUAGUAUGCGGGUGCCGAGAUGUCAACUCUUAGGGGCAGGUGCUAUAAUAGGAACUUGGGUAUUAUAGGGUGCCUAAUUCCUGUAUCAAGUAAUAUAGUAUGCUCAAUGGACAAUUUAAGUUCUUGGUUCUUCUCCCUUAACAGCUAGCUUUUAGGGAGGCUUCCCCAAGUACUUUGGUGCUUAUCACCUGUGUAUGUGCUUAACAAGAAUCUUUCAUAAUUUGGCUAAUGCUUUCUUGUUUGGUUUCAAUUGGAUUUUCGUAAUUCUGGAUUAAUGUUCUUUUGCUCGAAAACCAAUUCAUAUAUUGUGCAAGAAUGGUUCUCAUUCAAUCAUUUUAUUACAUAUCCACAUCUUGUGCUAUUUGGUCACUGAUGAUUUUUUCCCUUCAAUUUUAUUAGUCCGACUAGAUUUGCACCUAAUUUGUGUGACAAAAACUUCAUAAUAUAUAGCAUAGUUAUUAAUCUGUUGUUUUUUAAUUAUAUUCUACAAUAGUUAAUUUAUAUUUCAGGAGAAACUCUCUGUUUUGGAUUUUGUUGAUAAAGAAAAUCUCGAGAAUCUUGUGCCAGUAGAGCCUCCCUCAAUAGAAUGCACCCCUUUCAAGCUUGUGGAGGAUGUCAAAGGAUUGAAGGAGGUGGCUGCUAUGCUGUCUUCAGUUAAUGAAUUUGCGGUAUAACAUAAAUGCUAUUCAUUAUGUUUUACUAAAAAGCUUCCUUCAUUUGUACUACUAAAUUCUUGUUUCUGUGGCCUGAUUGUACAUUUCACUUAGAGCUUGUUUCCCAUUAUUUGUUAGCAGGGCCAUGUUAUAAAACAGAUUCUUGUCUUAAAUAUGUGCAACUGCUAUGGUUUGUAAUACAAAAUCAAAAUUCAUGCAUUCACUUCAUGAAUUUCUUGGUAUUCAGAAUACCUUUGUUUUGUUUCUGUUCUGAUUAAGCGAAAGAAAUCCAAUGAGUAGAAUUACAAUUCAGUUGCAUAUUGAACAGUUCUUGACAGGUGACAACAAACUCAAUAUCCCUGAUGUUUUGGAGAUCUAAUGUAAAUUGGACUAUACACUGUGCUCUUCCUUGUGCCGUAUCACAUAAUAUGAUUUGAUUAAUUAUUUACUUUGUAUCUUCCUUUUUUCAGUGAUUUUCUUGUGUUUAGUGUAGGAAACUGAUUGAGAAUAGUAUAUCAAAAUUAAUUGUACUUUUCUCUAAUUGUUAUUGAAGUGUGUUUGAUAUUGUGUUGGCUGUUGAGUAGUAGGCAUUGUUCAAGCUGGGCUCAAUAAAUUACACAUUUAUCAAUUGGUUCAUUCUAUUUGAGAAUGUGUACAGACCUACACAGCAAGUCUUAAGCUAGCCUUUCAAGCUUAUUGGCAUGGGCCUUACAUGAAAAUAACCAAAUAUAAUGCCUCUUUCUUUUUCCUGGUGUUUAGCUUUUGGCAGAUGUUUCAUUGUUAAGGUUAAGUUAGUAUAUGCUCAUUGAGAAGUGCUAACGACACUCUUUCUGAUACUCUUUUCAAUACUCGUUCUGUGAUUGACUGAAAUUUGUUAAAGAUCAACAAUUUUGGUGGGUCUCACUUAUCAAUUGAUGAUUAUCAACAAAUUUCAGCCAAUCAUAGAGAGAGUGUUGGAAAGAGUGUUAGAGAGAGUGUUGGUAGCAUUCCUCAUGCUCAUUUUUCUGCAUAGAUGUAUGUUUCUCUUCUUGUGAUCAUAUUUAUUUUUGGGUAAGCUGUUUUUUUUUAGUAUAUCAUGUUUUGAUCUUCUUUUGUAUCUAUGAAAUUCUGUUACUAAUUUGUUAUUUUUUCUGAAUGCUGUUUGUUUUCUAUACAUUUAAUUUAAUUAUUGUCCCAGUAUUCUCUCUUUUAGAUACUUCUCCUGUCCCUUUCUUUCAUUAUAUUCUUUUGACAUUUUUAUCUUGACGUGGAAUGUUAAGGUGGAUUUGGAACAUAAUCAUUAUCGGUCUUUCCAAGGUUUGACUUGCUUGAUGCAAAUCUCAACCAGGACUGAAGAUUUUGUUAUAGAUACUCUGAAGGUCCGCAAUCAUGUUGGGCCAUACCUGAGGGAAGUCUUCAAGGACCCUACCAAGAAGAAGGUCAGAUGCACAUGUUUGAUGUUUCUUUAAUUCAUCAGACUUUCUUCUUUUUGUUGACUUUAUUUAUUGGAAAUAGGUCAUGCAUGGAGCAGAUCGAGACAUUGUGUGGCUGCAACGGGAUUUUGGCAUUUAUGUUUGCAAUAUGUUCGAUACUGGCCAGGUUUGUUUGUAAAGCUCAGGAUGUUCAAUAUUGGAAUUACUUCCCAUUAGUUAUCAAGGAAAUAAAAUUGUAUAUUGAGUUAUAUAAUUGUUACCACAUUGUUUCUUAUGUAAAAUAGUUUCUCUAGGCAGUUGAUACUUGCUCUGCAUGUAGAGGGCAUGUGAAAAAUAUUUGCAAAACUAAUUUCUGUUUUACUUGAUGAAUUUGGCAUGUAAACUGUUAUUGUCAUGAACAAACCAUCCCAAAAGCUUAAGUUGUUGGGUGAAAGCACAUGAUUGUUUUAUAUAUACCAGCUAUCUAUGGUUAUUUUACUUUAUUUCUUGAAAUUCAUCCAAGAAGAAUUAGCUCCAUACAUAAUUCUUGAGCAUUGUGUUUAAUGUUGGAUGAGUUUGAUUCCUUAGAGUAAUAAGGUUGAUUGUUUUGCUACAGCUUUGAAGAAAAUUGCUGGAAAUAAGUGCUGUAAUGAGAUCUGUGCCAGCUUUGCUUUUGUUUGAGACUUUUCUUGCUUGUCUUAUCUAAUGACUAUUAGUUUCUGCACCUGAUUAUAUAGUUUAUGGCCAUUUAUAUGAAUAUUCUGAGACAUGUUUCCAGGAUUUUAUAUUAUACUCAUGCUACCCUCGUACAUUUACAAGAUCAAAAUUCGGCAUCCCUGAAAAUAUUUCGGUGCUCAGCUUUUCAUGCAUCCAUAUUGUUGAUCUGUUCUGUGACAUUAUUAAAUGAUGAGUAAACUUUAAAGUUCUAUUGCUUUUUGAUUAUCCUUGUCAUAAUCCAUGUUCCUUGAUCUCAUGCUGGGAAUUCAUUCUAUAACCUUCUCUUCUUUUUGUCAAACUGGACUAAUGUAUAUUUUUAAUUUUGUUUCUCAGUCUUCAAGAGUGUUAAAGUUGGACAGAUAUAGUCUGCAAUAUCUUUUGCAACAGUUUUGUGGGGUUACUGCAAACAAGGAGUAUGUUGUCUUUACUUUUUGGAAUUACCCCCUUCUUCCAGUGUCUUGACACAGAAGCUUUAUAAUUUCUUAUGGAAUAACUAUUCCUUUUAUUCUUACCAACAUUCUGGAAGGUUGACAAGUCAACUCCUUGCAGAUACCAGAGUGCAGAUUGGAGAUUACGCCCUCUUCCUGAUGUGAUGCUAAGGUGCAACUAUGUUUUAAUCUUAUCACAUUUAAUCCAUUCUUGAUUCUUCCUGUGGUUUAGUUUUUGGCCUGUCUUUGAUUCUUUUGGUAGUACUGGCUUUUGGAUGUGUAGUAUUAUAAUUAUAAUUAUAAGCACAAGGUAUGUGGUCCAGGUUUCUGAGGACAGGUCUGGUAAGUUGUCAUGUUCCUUGUACUCAGCUGGGGUUUAUCUGUAGUUCACUUUAGACCAAGAGUUUGGCAUUUAUCGUAAGCAGAAUCAGUCUUUGCAAGUGUAUAUGAGUGAAUAACUCGGGUAGAACUCUAUUAUCUAGAGUUAGUUUAGUUAGUUGUAAUAACUAUAGUUAGUUGACAGUUGUCAUUAGUUAGAUGACAGCUGUAAUUCUGUUACAACUGAAUCUCUGCAGUAUAUGUACUGCUCUUGUAAGAGAUUAUGGUUUUUUUAUUUUUAUCAGCAAAGAUAGAUAUUAUAUAUAUAACAGAGUACCAGGGGUACUGAAUUACAAAUGGUUGGAUGGCCAUGUAGUUGGUUCCGAAUCAGACUUAAAAGAGUCUAAAACGGAACCAAAACAGGCUGUACCAAUGUAGAUAACUAUUGCUAAUCUAUGUGUCUAUUCUUUACUAAUACAAAAACCCUUCUCUAAUGUGUUGAGAAGUCUUUCUCCAAAUUCGAUAACCAUGUCCACAAUAGGAAUGCUGCGUCGUCAAUCAGUUUGUUACUAUCGAAAGAGUCAUUGGAGAAAAUCAUCUUAUUCCUCUGCUGCCAAAUAGUCCAAGUUACAGCCAACCACCAGCAUUUCCAUCUAGUAGACCUUAUCCCAUCAACCAUUAUCAAACCAUGUUGGAGGAAAUGCUGCCUUGGGUCAUUCGGAAAAGCUUCACUGGUGUUCACCCAUGAUGAUGUUUCCCACCAAAUAGGGAUGACUUUCUUGCAAUGAAAGAGCAAGUGUCCUGUUUCCUCUUCCAUGUUUCUGCAAAAUGGACAGCUCUUAUCCGGGCCCUCUAUUUGUCUCCUAUGUAAAUUUACUUUAGUAGACAACCUAUCUCUAAGGAGCCUCCAAGCAAAUACUGCAAAUUUGAUUGGCACUGUUGAAUGUCUUUGUAUUUUUACCUACUUUUGGUAGCUUAGUUGGAAAGCUUGUUCAGAAGGGUAGCAGUGAAUUGUCACUAUCACUGCCCUUCUCUCUCUCUCUCUCUCUCUCUCUUGUAUUCUCUAUAUAUAUGUAAUCUUUUAAAUUUAAAUAAAGCUAAGAGGGAAAGGAGGUGUUUUUCACUCUUUCAGUUUUAAGUUGGUACCAGAGCAGAUUUGUCCGCCGCCGCCGGCCGCUGCCAUCUCCGGCCAGAUUUUUCCGGCGAGAUCAGGGUUAGGAUCGCCUCGAAAAGUGUGACCUACCCCUGGAAGUCGCACCUCCAAAGGAGCCGCCACGCGCCUCCUUUCUCACGCGCGUUUUCCGGCGCAUGAAUCCCACACGUCACCGUACAGUCGCCGGAACGCCGCCGCGCCGCCACCAGUCUUCUCGUUGGCGUCUUCUGAGUCUGUUCCAGGCCUCAGUUUCGAGUUUUGUUGCCUGGAACAUAUCACUUCAUUCUUCUCUCCUUUUUAUCCCUUUAGGGUUUCAUCUUGUGGGUCAAAAUGGCUGCCUCUGGACCUGUUUUCUCCUUCUCCGGGACUCCGACAAUCACUACUACUAAGCUGAACUGGAAGAAUUAUCCCUCGUGGUCUGCUUCCGUGGAACUUUGGUUUCUCGGUCAAGGACAUCAUGACCACUUAGAGAAAGCUUCUGAUUUCGUUUCAAAUGACAAGAGACCUGAAUGGGAGAAGCUUGACUACCAGCUCUGCGCUGUAUUAUGGCAGUCAGUUGAACCGGAUAUUUUGGAAAUUCUUAGGUCCUUUAAAACGUGUCGUUUUUUUUGGAAGAAGACCCAAUAAAUUUUUGCCAAUGAUAUCCAAAGCCUGUUUGACGCAACCAUGAAGGUCACAGCCCUCAAGCAAACUGGUCAUGACAUGAUCGCUCAUGUGGGUAAGGCUCGGGCUGUCGUGGAAGAGCUGAGAAAGUUUCUUGUAGCUGAUUCAUUGGAAGAAGUGAACAGGAAACUUGAUAAGUUCUACACGGUCCUUAUUCUGAGGAGCCUACAUUCAGAUUUUGAUCAUGUUCGUGAUCAAGUACUUGCUGGGGACCAAGUUCCAUCUAUGGAUUCUCUUAUCACUAGACUUCUCCGCGUGCCUCAUUCAUUGAAGGAUGAGAAUCCUGCCGAUGGUGUGGAGACGUCAACCAUGGUCGCGUCUCGAGGAAGAGGAGGCAGCCGCAACAACAGAGGAGGUCGUAGUGGAAGGGGUGGACGUCCUCAUUGUACUUAUUGCAAGAGGAUGGGUCACACCCAAGAGAAUUGUUAUUCGUUGCAUGGGUUUCCCGACAAGGUCGCACAGGUCUCUAGAUCAGAGAAGAAAAAGUCUAGAUUUUCUGAUGAGGAGUAUCAGGAGUAUUUGAAGCUUAAAUCCGAGAAACCCAGCAACCAAGCUCAAUCCUCAUCUGUACCAUGUUUUUCGACAGCCUGUAUCUCUUAAUCCAUUGAAGGUUCUAGUCCUUGGAUACUCGACUCAGGUGCCUCUGAUCAUAUUUCUGGUAAUAAGUCAUCCUUUUCAUCCUUCUCUUUUCCAAAAAUUCCUCAUCUUGUUACUGUGGCCAAUGGUUCCAAGGUUGCGUCUCAAGGAAGUGGUCAAGUUUCUUUAUCUCCUUCUCUGAAAUUGAAUUCUGUGUUAUUCAUUCCUCAGUGUCCCUAUAAUCUAAUUUCAUUAAGUCAGUUAACUCGUUCGUUAAAUUGUUCAGUAACCUUUACUGCUAAUUCGUUUGUUAUUCAGGAACAUGGGACGGGGCGACUGAUUGGAGAAGGACAUGAAUCACGAGGGCUUUACUACUUGGAAUCUAGUCCACCUGGGGCUUGUUUUGCAAUCUCAAAGCCCAAACUUUUGCAUGAUCGUCUAGGCCACCCAAGCUUACCAAAAUUGAAGAUGAUGGUUCCUAGUCUCAAGAAUCUUCGAGUCUUAGAUUGUGAGUCUUGUCAACUAGGAAAACAUGUCAGGUCGUCAUUUCCUCAAACUGUACAAAGAUGUAACUCGGCUUUCUCUACCAUUCAUUCUGAUAUUUGGGGACCAAGUCGUGUUACAUCUUUUGGUUUUCGAUAUUUUGUAACCUUCAUUGAUGAAUUCUCCAGAUGUACUUGAGUUUAUUUAAUGAAAGAUAGAUCUGAACUUUUGCCUAUAUUUGUGUCAUUCUACAAUGAGAUUGAGAAUCAAUUUGGAAAAACAAUUAAAAUUUUCAGGAGUAACAAUGCUAAAGAAUAUUUCUCUCAUGACCUUUCUUCCUUUUUGUCUUCCAAAGGUAUUCUACAUCAGUCCACAUGUCCUCACACACCACAACAAAAUGGCAAGCAGAAAGGAAGAAUCGUCAUCUUCUUGAAACUGCACGUUCCCUAAUGCUAAAUUCAAAUGUUCCUACCCAUCAUUGGGGCGAUGCAGUGCUUACUGUCUGUUUCCUAAUCAAUAGGAUGCCCUCUUCUUCUCUUGAAAACCAAAUCCUUCACUCAAUUGUCUUUCCUCAUGAUCCACUAUUUCAUGUCUCUCCUAAAGUGUUUGGUUGUACCUGUUUUGUCCAUGAUUUGUCUCUUGGUUUAGACAAACUCUCUGCUAGGUCAGUCUUGGGUUAUUCUCGUCUUCAAAAAGGUUACAAAUGUUAUUCUCCAACCAUGAGACGAUACUACAUGUCAGCAGAUGUAACCUUCUUUGAAGACACACCCUUCUUUUCACCCUCCGUAGACCAUUCAUUGUCUCUCCAGGAAGUUCUUCCUAUUCCUUCUCCUUGUCCUCUAGAAGAUUCAGACCAAAAUGUCCGUGUGGUUCCAUCUUCCUCACCCACUUCACCUGAAGUUGUAUCUUCGCCCUUGAUUGCAGAUUAACCCAGGACAACGCCGAUUGGAUUUCCAGUUCCUGAAGCUUCUCCUCGUGAUUCUCGUUCAUCUUCAACCAGUCUUCCACUCAUGGACCCUUCCACUUCUUCUCCUUCUGACUCACGUUGGCCCAUUGCCAUCAGGAAAGGUACUCGGUCUACUCGUAAUCCUCAUCCUAUUUAUAAUUUCUUAAGUUACCACUGUUUGUCUCCUUCAUACAAUUCCUUUGUUUUCUCAUUGUCCUCCCUUACUAUUCCUUUCACUGUCCGUGAGGCACUUGAUCAUCCUGGCUGGCGACAGGCUAUGAUUGAUGAGAUGCAGGCUCUUGAAAAUAACGGUACUUGGGAGCUUGUUCCUCUUCCUCUUGGUAAGACCACUGUGGGUUGUAGAUGGGUCUACACUGUUAAAUUUGGACCCAAUGGUAAGGUUGAUCGACUUAAGGCUCGCUUGGUGGCUAAGGGCUACACACAGGUAUAUGGCAUUGACUACAGUGAUACUUUCUCUCCUGUAGCCAAACUCACCAUUGUUCGUCUGUUUCUUGCUAUGGCUGCUAUUCGUCACUGACCCCUUUAUCAGCUUGAUAUUAAAAAUGCCUUCCUCCACGGUGAUCUUGAGGAUGAUAUUUACAUGGAGCAACCUCCUGGGUUUGUUGCUCAGGGGGAGUAUGAUCUUGUGUGUAAGCUUCACCGAUCUCUCUAUGGGUUGAAGCAAUCUCCUCGCGCUUGGUUUGGUAAAUUUAGUCAUGUUGUUCAAAUGUUCGGACUGAAACGAAGUGAAGCUGAUCAUUUUGUAUUUUAUUGUCAUACAUCUCCUGGAAAAUGUGUUUAUCUAAUGGUCUAUGUUGAUGAUAUAGUGAUUACAGGGAAUGAUACUACUAAGAUCACCCAGCUGAAAGAGCACUUAUUCAGUCAUUUCCAGACCAAAGAUCUGGGUUCUUUGAAGUAUUUCCUUGGCAUUGAAGUGGCUCAAUCAGGAGAUGGUGUUGUGAUCUCUCAGAGGAAGUAUGCUCUUGAUAUUUUAGAAGAAACAGGUAUGCAGAAUUGUAGACCUGUUGAGAGCCCCAUGGAUUCGAAUCUGAAGCUCAUGGCAGAUUAAAGUGAAGUUUAUCCUGACCCCGAGAGAUAUAGGAGGCUUGUGGGAAAACUCAUUUAUCUUACCAUUGUCAGACCUGAUAUCUCCUUUGCUGUGGGAGUGGUUAGCCAAUUUAUGCAGAAUCCUCAUUUGGACCAUUGGAAUGCUGUCAUGCGUAUCCUUAGAUAUGUUAAAAAGGCUCCUGGUCAAGGGUUGUUGUGUGAAGACAAGGGUAAUACACAACUAUCGGGAUAUUGUGAUGCUGAUUGGGCUGGCUGUCCCAUGGAUAGAAGGUCUACAUCAGGUUAUUAUGUCUUCAUUGGUGGAAAUCUUAUUUCUUGGAAAAGCAAGAAACAGAUAGUUGUCGCUCGGUCCAGUGCUGAAGCUGAAUAUCGAUCUAUGGCUAUGGUUACUUGUGAGCUCAUGUGGAUUAAACAAUUUUUGCAGGAAUUGAAGUUUUGUGAAGAGUUGCAAAUGAAGUUGUAUUGUGAUAAUCAGGCUGUUCUUCAUAUUGCCUUAAACCCAGUUUUUCAUAAAAGAACUAAGCACAUAGAGAUUGAUUGUCAUUUUAUUCGAGAGAAGAUUUUGUCCAAGGAGAUUGUCACUGAGUUUAUUGGUUCUAAUGAUUAGCCAACUGAUAUUUUGACUAAGUCCUUAAGAGGACCCAGAAUUCAGACUAUAUGCUCCAAGCUUGGUGCAUAUGAUUUAUAUGCUCCAGCUUGAGGGGGAGUGUUGAAUGUCUUUGUAUUUUUACCUACUUUUGGUAGCUUAGUUGGAAAGCUUGUUCAGAAGGGCAGCAGUGAAUUGUCACUGUCACUGCCCUUUUCUCUCUCUCUCUCUCUCUUGUAUUCUCUAUAUAUAUGUAAUCUUUUAAAUUUAAAUAAAGCUAAGGGAAAGGAGGUGUUUUUCACUCCUUCAGUUUUAAGUGGCACCUUUAGCUUCCACAACUCCUCAAAAAGCCCUAUCCUGUAUCCCUUCAAUUUCUGCCCCCCUCAUUAGAUUGUAAGCAGUCUUCGCUGUAUAUUGUCCACUUGGGUCUGCCUUCCCCACCCACUCGUCCCUUCUGUUCCUCUGUAUAGUCUUCCUCUCCAUAUCUGUUAGGAAGUUAGUAGCCAUUGGUAUCUCAUUAUCAAACAGCGUCCUCCUCCAUGAUAAGUUUCAUUCCCACUCCACCCCCUUAUGUCCACCCAACUGUUGGAUUAGCUGGUUCUGUUGGCACGAGAUUAGAUACAAUCUAGGAUACUUUGUUACCAAUGAGACCUCUCCAUCUAUCCACUCGUCCUCCCAGAAUUUAAUCCUAUCUCCACUCCCCACCCUCCACUGAAUCCCUUUUUUGAGCUCCUCGCCCUGUUGUGAGGUUUGAAAGACCCUUGCCCACAACUGUCCUUCCUGCUGAAAUAGAUUCCACCUCCACUUGCCAAGCAAAGCAAGAUUGAAUGUGUUUAUGUCCUUUAUGCCAAAUCCCCCCUUUUCUUUUGGUAAGCAAACUGUCUCCCAUUUAAUUCACAUAAUCUUAUUUUUAUUUGGCCCUCCUCCCCAUUGAAAUCUUCGUUGUAAGCUAAGUAACUUGUUGGCCACCUUCUUAGGAAUCCUGAAAAAAGACAAAAAGUAAAUGGAAAUAGAAUUUAGGACUGACUGGAUAAGGGUCACUCUCCCCUCAAAAGACAAGUGUCUCUGCUUCCACUUAGACAAUGCUCUCUCACACUUUUUUAUAAUAGGAUCCCACAUCUGUCCCCGCCUCGGGUUUGCCCCAAUAGGUAUUCCUAGAUAGACAAAAGGAAUGGACAGGAAACUACAAUUCAAAACACUGGCUGCUUCAGACUUCCAUCUCUCCGGCAUACCAAUGGUACCAAAACAACUCUUUGCAAAAUUAAUCUUGAGGCUAGAUACAAGUUCAAAAGACCUCAAGAUUGCUUUAAUGGCCCUCACAUUCUCCAUUGAUGCCUCUCCAAAGAAUAUUGUGUCAUCGGCAUAUUGCAGGAUGCUUAUAUCAACACUGUUUGCUCCCACUGAGAAACCCCGGAAUAAAUUUCUCUUAACCGCCUCUCUUACUAGACCAUUCAAUGCCUCCGCCACAAUAUUGAAAAGAAAAGGUGCUAAUGGAUCCCCUUGCCUAAGGCCUCUCUGUGGUGAGAACUCAACCGAGGGGCUGCCAUUGACUAGAACCGAAAUAGAUGCGGAUUUUAGACAUCCCACGAUCCACUGGAUCCAUUUGGCACAGAAGUCCAAUCUUCUUAGCAUAUAAACCAGGAAAUUCCAUGAGACCAAGUCAUAUGCCUUCUCAUAAUCCACUUUGAAAACUAGACACGAUUUCUGACUUCUUUUGGCAUUUUCUACCACCUCGUUUGCUAUCAAUGCACUUUGUAGUAGAUGCCUACUCUCUAUAAAUGUGGAUUGUCUUUCAUCUAUUAUGAGGGGCAUAAUCUUCUUCAAUCUAUUGGCCAACAGCUUGGCUACUAUCUUGUACAUGCAUCCAAUGAGUGAUACCGGUCUGUACUCAUCCAGAGUUUGCAGAUUGGGCACCUUAGGGAUUAAAACAAUGAAAGAUGCAUUACAUCCCCUUGGAAAAAUUCCAUUAACAUAGAAUUCAUCCAAAAACUGUAGAACAUCAGGUUUUACUAUGUGCCAGAAUCUCUUGAUGAAUUUGAAAUUUAUUCCAUCUGGGUCUGGACUCUUCUCACUCCCACAUCCCCACACUGCAUCCUUGAUCUCCUCCUUCAUGAAUCUCCCUGUUAGCAUGUCAUUGUGCUGAUGCCCAAUAGUCUGAAAGUGAAUACCAUCUAGGAGGGGUCUAUUGUGAUCCUCUUCUUUGAAUCUAUGUAGGAAAAAUAGUCUGGCUGCUUCUUUUACUCUCGCCGGUUCUUCAGUCCAUUCUCCAUCAAUCCGCACACCAUGCAAAGAGUUACCUUUGCGGCUUGCAUUCACCAAUAAAUGGAAGUAUCGGGAAUUGGAAUCCCCUUCUUUUACCCAUCUAGCCCUCGCCUUAUGGCGUAGUAAGGAUUCGUGAUACUGUGCAGUUGCCCACAAAUCUUCUUGAAGCUAUUUCUAGAUUAAACCCUCCUGAGGAGAAAGCUGUCUAUGUAUUGUGCUCACAUCCAACCGAUUCAGCUCUCCCUCAAUUUUCUUGUAUCUUUUAAAAGUAUCACCGAACUGAUCUCUGUUUCAUAUCUUCAACCUUGCUUUCAACCUCUUUAUUUUUUCUUUGAGCACGUAUCCACCCUAACCCCUUAGCUGGUGGGUCGUCCAACACUCCUGCACAAUUGAAUUGAAGGAUUUGUCCGACAACCAGCAAUCAAGUAUCCGGAAUGGCUUUGGACCCCUGUCUACGAACUUGGACCUAAGCAAAACUGGGCAGUGAUAAGAGAAAUUCCUGUCUAGUGGUUGUUGUGUGCUUCCAGGCCAUUUUGUGAGCCGGUCUGGAGACACAAGGAAUCUGUCCAACUUGCUCUUAGCAAUUCCAUUAGGCCGGAACCACGUGAAUUUCCUUCCUAACCAUGGCGCCUCCUCUGCCUCCAUCUCCUCGAUCUAUUCAUUAAACUCUUUUAUAUUACUCUCUUCUAUCCCCCUUUGGCAAACUCCUACCCUUUCCGCAGGAUCCCUUGUGUUGUUGAAAUCUCCCAGAAUACACCAAGCCCCCCUUGGUUUGCAGAUUUCAUUUGUUUGAUGGCCUCCCAUAGGUUUCUUUUGUUCUGUAUAUCACAUGGUGAGUAUACUGUCACGAUAUUAACUUGCACUGCCUCUUUAAUCCACUGCCCUGACAGCCAAAUGAAUCCAUUUCCGCUAGCCUUCCUUUCUAAUUUAAAUUUUUUAUCACACCACAGGCAUAGGAGUCCCCCAGCUGAGUUAACAGCCGGCUGCAUCUCCCAGGACACUGCUGGAUCACCCCAUAUUGACUGGCACAUUGAUUUCUCUAUUGUCUCCUUUUUGGUUUCUUGUAUGCAAAUCAUGUCUACGCUCUCCUUUUUAAUUAGUCUCCUUAUUGCUGCCCAUUUCACCCCCCUCCCUAGCCCUCUCACGUUGUAUGUGAUAAUAUUCAUAAUAUACAACUUUUAUUCCCCACCUUAUCUGCCUCCAUCCUAUCUCUCUCCUCCAUUUCCAUAAAUCUGUCCACCAUCCUCCCCUGGUCUUCCGCAGCGGUUACCCCCAACUGGUUUGCUAAUUCCCAAAUGAUUGAUGCUUCUUGCUUUACUGUUUUCUCCUGAACAUGUCUUCUCCCCUGCAUCCUGGUGCUUUGAAUUUCCACUAAAGCCAUUCAAGUCUUGGUUGUGCGUAAACCCCUCAUUGCUGACCCUACUCUGCUGCUGCAAUAUCAAAUUGGUAUUUUGUUGCUGUUGGCAGGUUGUUUUUUGUGUUAGUGGGCCAUGUCAUUGGGCUUCCAGACUAUCCCUGCAUUCCUUCAUUUGCUUGCGACACCACCUUGCUCGAGAAUACACCUUCCAUGAGGUGGCUGUGCCUUGUGGAUUAACUGUUUGGUGUGUUGGGCUUCUGGGGGGGGGGGGUGUAUAGUAAGGCCCAUGUUAUUUGAAAUACCCUUGUCCUCCCGUGACCUCCUCUGCAACCCACUGCCACCUGCCCACACCAACCCGCUGCCCCACUUUCUUCUUUCGUGCACAUUUCCUUGUUUUCAAUUCUUUGCCCUUCCCGACAUCCUCCUUGCUUCCUUGUUUCCUUACCUCGUAUGGCACGAGAUCAUCUUCCCCCUUCAAAAUUCCCACUGCACGUUCUGCCACAUUGCCUCCCUUUGACUCCACUGCGGCUCCUUUCUGGCUCUCCUGCUGUAACCGCGGGAAGUCUCCUUUACCCGCUGGAUCGUGAGUCUCGUCGGUCCCUGGGUAAAGGCGAGCCAUGACCAUCGGUUCCUUCGCCGUGGGUGGAGGAGCCCGGCGCGGGUCGAUGGUGUCUAGCUGCGUCUCCGCGACCCAUGCUUCACUCUCGCACAGCCACUCCCUUGUUUUCUCCGAGGUUGGAGUCGCCAUAAAGCUUCCGUCGGAAUCUAUGUCUUCCGAUGGCUUUUGUAAAAUCAUUUAUGACCUAUGAAGCACGGACACCCCAUCCCCUUGCCGUGUCUGGGUGUCCGACACGUGUCCGUGUCUGUGUCCGACACGACACUGACACUGACAAGUAAAUCAGCAUCCCAUUAACUUUUUCAAGAGGUGAGGUGUCUACGUGUCCGGUGUUCGUGUCAGUGUCGGUGCUUCAUAGUUUAUGACCAAUAUACGAAUCCCUUUUUCUCUCUUCUAUCAUUCUACAGUCAUGAUCAUGUCAGCAUAAGUUUCAUUACGAAGCUUUUAGUCAAUAGUGAACUCCCCCAAAACUCAAGGAUUCAAUGAGCCUGGUGACUUGAACUAGAGCACCAAUGAACUGACUGUUGGGCUUCUUUAUUUGAAAAGAUAUGACUAGAAGUGUCAUUCAUAUGGUACUCACUUUAUAAAAACUUACUCUGAAUUUUCCUUACAACUACCUGAAUGCUUACUAACAAUGAAGGUAUCAUGAUGGACAAGGAAAUAAUGGGAUGUGGGAACUGGGAAAUGUGUAUUAGGAAAUGCUUGAAAUUGGGAUUAUUAGGAUGCCAAGUUGGCUAUUUCUUGGUGCCAGUAAGGUUUCACUGUUUUUUAAGUUGAUAAUGUACUUAGGUACUCAACCUAUGUUUUGGAAUUAAGAUUACUAAUUACUUUUUUCCAUUCUUCCUCCUUUCUAUCUUUUGUUUUCCCUUAAUCUUUCUCCCUAUGUGUGUCAAAACAUUAAUUUAUGAGUCAGAGAUCUUAUGUGAUAAUGACUUGUAUAUUGUCCUUGUGAUUUGUAUUACUACAAUCUAAUGAACUAUUAUUCUUAUGAUAGAUAUGGCAGAGAAGAUACACACUAUCUGCUUUAUAUAUAUGAUUUAAUGAGGAUCAAAUUAUUUGCAUUGUCUAAGGAGUCUGAAGGUUCUGAUAAUCCUCUACUGGAGGUACGUUGAUAUCAAACUAGCUGAAUGAGCAUGCGAUCUACCAAUUAUUUCAUCUGACCAUUGGGUGCUCCUUUAUUCCCUUGGUCUAUUUUGUCUUAAGCAUACUUAAACAUGUCGUGGUUGAUUAGACCUGUUUGACAUUUCAUUGCUGGCCAAUAUUUCAAUAUAGAUAGUUGAAAAGGAAGCAUUAAAGGGGAAUAAUCUCAAUAUUAUUGCAUGGUUAGAAAUACAAUUGUGAAUCUACUUAAUUAUAAUCAAGAAUGACAGGAAAUAGGGAAAUAAAAUAUCCUAAUAAUUACAGGUAAUGGUAAUCAAUCUCUGUCCUAGUUAGUGCUAAUUAUAGGAAAAAUAUUCUGUCCUAAAUUAAUUAUAUAUUAACAACAUAGAUCUUUAAUCAAAAUGCCAAACAACACUACAGAAUGUCUGGUUUAAUGAAUAUUCUCUUUCAGCCUUUUAACUAGAAUUCCUUGUCACUGACAGGUUUACAAGCGCAGUUAUGAUGUCUGCAUGCAGCUAUACGAGAAAGAGCUGCUGAAAGAAGACUCGUACCUUCAUAUAUGGGGGUUUGUUACCUUUUUUCUAUUUUCAAUCUUGCAUUGUUAGUAGCUAGUUUUCCAGACUACAUGUACACUUUUUAUUACAUUUCUGCCUCUUCUAUGUAGAGCAUGAGUUUUGAAGUUUUUCCAUUGCACUUAUUACUUUUCUAUACAGGUUGCGAGGGGCUGGUUUUAAUGCUCAGCAGCUUGCCGUUGUUUCAGUAAGUUUCUCUUUGACUUGCAUACACAAGGGAUGAAAGCAUGCUUUUUAUUUUUUUCUUGAAUACCAUUUUUGCUGUUGAUAUGGUUAGUCCUCUGCAAUGUUGUCAAAAUCACAAUUUUACUAGUAGAAUCCUAAAAUCGUACAAUCCUACAAGUUUUGGAUGGUGUGGAAAAUUGCCUUAAUUGCCGUCACCCCUAGCCCGCUUUAGUUGCGGCCUCUUUGGGAGCUGCUUUAAUUGCAACCUCAAGGGUGGUAGUUUUGUCACACUUUGACUCAUGAUAUGGCUUAAAUAUAGCUUACAAAGCUUAGGUAGUUCCCACCUUACAUGCUGCUGCUGCUCUGGUUUUGUGAUGUUGAGUUAGGCUCUAAGCCCCAAUUCUAAGGAAUGCAUUGCAUCUACUUUAGAUUUCUGUAUGAUCCACAAGUAUUAUAUCUCACAUACAUUGUACAUGUCUGACAGGGACUUUGGGAAUGGCGUGACGGUCUUGCUCGUGCAGACGAUGAAGGUCCUGGCUAUGUAUUGCCAAAUAGAAUUAUUCUUGAAAUCGGUAAAUGAAAUUUAUCUAGACUUCUAUAUUGUCUUUUGUCUGAUAAGUAGAACUUUUGCACAGCAAACAUCACUUCAGUUUUUUUUUUUUUUACCCAUUUCAAAGCUAACCAGAUGCCUGUCAUUAUAAGCAAUCUACGGCGAAUAGUAGGAAGGACAAAACACCCAUAUGUUGAGCGCAGCCUUGAUGUCAUUGUCAACAUUGUCAGACAUUCUAUGCAAAAUGCUGCUGCCUUUGAAGAGGCUGCACUACGUUUGAAAGAAGAACAUGCUGCAAGUGUAAGUAAUAUUUUAACAAUUGACACCUUGCUAGAAUGAUGCAGGAAUUUUUUCGGUGGUAUUUCUGCUUGGUAAUUUAUAGUGAUUUUCAUAUUGUUCUGAAUAAAUCUGAACGUUCUAUUCUUGGUAAUUUAUCCCCUGCACUUACUCUUAAUUAAGUGAUCAAGAUGAGCUGGGAUAAUGUGACUUGUCAAAUCAAGCCAUGGGCUGCUGUCUGUUAUCUUACUGUAUUUAGCAUGCAACUAGUACUAAGAAGAGAAUGGAAAUCUUCAACCAUAAUCAACAAUGGACAUUGUAUUUAAUGUCUUAUCAAAUCUAUAAGUGCUGAAUUUGUUAUUGUUUUAAAACGGAUGAAGUUAAUCAUUGAUACUUCUAACAUUUAAUUCACCGGAUCUGAUGAUGUGAUAUCAGUAAAUUAUGGAUAUGCUUCUAAUUUAUCUAACUCUCGUUCCACUGUGUUUGGAUAAGCCUUUUAUCUUUUUAUGUUUGUUUUCAAAAUAGCUUAUAAAUUGAGAUAGAUUGUGAAAGAAAAAAUCCUUUUAAAAUUAAGCAAAUCCACACACUAUCUGAUUAACGGCUUUUAGAAUAUUUUAAAAUUGUCUGUUCCCUAGUUUCUUGGAAUUAGUUCUCUAAUUGUUCGGUGCCCAACAUGUUCCUAAGCAGAUGCUUUAUGAUUUUUUUAUUAUUUGUUUUUAAUUACUAGUUUUUACUUGUUGAUAAAUUGUAUACUAUCAUGAUACAGUUGUCAAAUGUGAUACCCGUUAAGGAUGGAACUGAAGUACCUCAUACACUACAAAAGGAUGGAUGUGCAGCAAGAGGAAGCAUGGGAAUUGAAAAUGGCUCCUGUGUUGAUAUCACACAAAACUGUAUGCUUUCUUAUGACCAAGAGGAGAAAAGUUUUCAGCAUCAAGUUGAAGAUGGACUAUCCGAUUGUCUCAAUUCAGAUCUACUAAGGGUCAGUCCCACUAUUCCAUAUAAGAAUCGGGAUAAUGCAAAUGUUAUUGUACUCUCUACAGCAAAGGUUGUAAAAUAAAAAUCCCACUUGUUAUUCCAACAUGGAUAAAAAAAAAUUAAAAAAAGGCUUAAUUACUGUUUUAGUCCUUGAAUUUGGGGGUAUGCUUUUUUUAGUCCCUAAACUUUAAAAAUGCUUUUUUUAGUCCCUGAAUUUUGAAAAAUUACUUUUUUUAGUCCCCUGACACAGUAAAUGGACACUGGCGGCUUUUAAGCACUUUGUGACUGGUUUUUUAGCUCACGUGUUUUUGUUUUCAAAUGCAAAUUCAAGUGGCUAAACAAUAAAAAUUAAUUUAAGACAAUUAAAAACUGUCACAGUGUCAAUUUAGUAUGUCAAGGACUAAAAAAUGCAAUUUUUAAAAUUUAGGGACAAAAGAAAGCAUUUUUAAAUUUCAGGGACUAACUAAAGCAUAUACGUCAAUUUCAGUGACUAAAACAGUAAUUAAGUCUUAAAAAAAAUAAAUGAAAAACUAUUUCAAUGUUCUGGCAAUUAAUCUAAUCAUAGCUAAUUGGUUGAUAAGGCAAUGGAGAGAUACUAGAAAGGUGAUGCUCCAGGGCAACCCACCCUAAUGGUAGCUUUUGUCAUAAUCUUUCCUUUGCGGUAGGGUUGAAACUGGUUGUUUUUUUUCUUUCAGGCCGUCAUUUUCAAUUUUAACAUAACUUUAUUAGCAAAUAGCAAAGCACAAUUUUUUUACCACUAAACAAGCUAAUUUAAACAUGUACCAUGUCUUUUGGUGAGACCUUAUACUCAAUUAUUUAAUGAGAUGUGCAUUAGGGUACCUUCUAAAUUUAUAUUUGGACCAUUAUUUCUGUGUAAUAUUUUUCAAGAUUGUCUUGGGUUUGAUUCUUAGGUCAAGAAGGAGAUCAAGCCGGAACAGAGUAGAUCGUCGUUAAAUAUUCCAUCUCCCUUAUUGUUGGGCAACAAUGAGAAGUCAAGACUAGUUGCAGAAACUCCAAGUGUAACAUAUGAAACAUCAUACUCACGGGAGAAACUUGUUUCAGGUUCACCUUCUACCUCCAACCCUAUUGGGAUGGUAAUGGUAGAUUCAGCCAAGGAAAAGAAGAUGAACGAUGAGUAAGAAUAAUGUCUAAGCUCUGAGAAAUGAUUUCAAACAAGAAGAUCAGACAGAUGGAGACAACUGAAGAAUCCAAUGGCUUAUGGAAGCUAGAAUAGAAGCUAGAAGCUUUCUUUUGAUGUUGAAGUGGAAGGGGACAAGCUUUGCUUUUGGAAAGAGAAGAAAAUGCAUCGUCCCACAGUGGAGUUAGUUACUCAAGAUGUUGAGUUCAGAUAUGUUCCAGAUGUUUCAUUUCAUUUCUGGAGUUGCAACCAUCUCAUGGUUAAAUGAAAAUAGGUUAGAUCAUUAUAGGUUCAAAAUCAGAUGUUGUCAUUACCCAUAUCUUCUAAUUCUAGUUGCGCAAAAUGAAGAUCAUCUAUGUUCCUAUGUUGUCAUUACCCAUGUCUUCUAAUUUUAGUUGUGCAAAAUGAAGAUCAUCUAUGUUCCUUUGGUCGGUACAUCUCUGUCCAUGGAAAAGAAGUUCUUUGAAAAUUGGAGGUUCUCUACAUUUUUUUCAACAAAAGAUGUACUAAAAUUUACUAAAUCAAUGAAAGAUCAGAAAUAUAUUCUGUAACUACCAUGUAUAUUAGUUAAAAUCAAAGAAAUAAAUAAAACAAAGGCCGCCUGUUACAUAGGGCUAAUCUGAGAAGGAGACAGGAGGUGGAUAUGUCCGGAGAAAGGCUUUCAAACUCAUUUUAACCUUUGGUCAACUAAUUUGAAAGAUGAACUCUCUUAGAGGGGUUUUGACCUAUCUUGUCAGCUUUCUUGUAUUUGUCUUUUAUAGUUGGGUUUGACUUUUCAUUUCUUUUGUAUUUUCUUAUUUCUAAUACAAUAUAGAUUUUUGCUGUGCAAAAAAAAAAAAUAAUAAUGUUGCAAAAUGAUAGUUGGGACUUGACUUUCUAUCAGUGGUGUGAGGGAGACUCAUAUGACUUUGGUGGGAGACUCAUAUAACAUGCUAUAUUAGUCCGUCUGGAUGUUGAGAAGUACUGUGAAGUGUGAUUUCUUGGCAUAAUCUUUGAAAAUGUUCUGAACAAUGUAGUACUUUUGUUUCCAGGUAGGAAGAUGCUAAAAAAAAUGCAGUGAUGACUAUUGUCUCGCUGAUAUCAAUGAAAUUAACAGGUUAAUUUAUGCCUUAUUGAAUGUUUGUCAUCAAUCUUAUAUUUCUUUUUUAAUAUAUGCAUUUGAGUUGUCAAAUUGCUUUACUACAAAAAAUUAAAUAACAAAUCAAUGGGUAUGAAUGAUUAGAGUUAUUUUAUGAGUCAUUUAAAUCUUAUUCUUCUUCUUAUUAUUAAAUUUUAAUUUAUAUUUAUAUAUUAUUAUUAUUAUUAUUAUUAAAAAAAAUUAUAUGCAUAUAUUCAAUAAGAUUUAAACAUUUUCCUACAACUUCUUGUUUAUUGGUAUGAUGUAAUAAUAAAAUAAAUUUCUAUUGAUAACAAAAUAAUUUUUCUUAAAGAUGUGUGUAUAUAUUCUUUAAAUUUAAUUAUCAAUGGAUACUUUAAAAAAAAACUAUUCCUAAAAAUCUUAUUUAAAUUAAAAAAUAUUUUUCUUUAACAUAUAUUCUUAAAAAAAAAAGUGAGAUAGCACCUUGGAUGACAAUCAGACACUUUCAUAUAAAAAAACUUGAAAUAUUACAGAUAGAUAGAUAAAUAAAUAAAAGAUCUGUGUAAAAAAAUAAUUAAAAAAAUGGCUCAUUAGUAAAAGAUGUGAGAGGUUAGAAGGUGUUUAGUGGGUGGUGGGAUUUGUGAAUCACUCUUUUCAUAUUCUUAAAAAGCCAGUUAAUAUUUAAAAUUUAAAUUAAUAUCUUCAAUGUAAUUUAAUUAAAAUUUAUUAAAAAAUUAUUAUAUUUCCAUGUAACAAAUAAUAUAAAUAAAUUAUCAAAUAAUUGUCUAUUUUACUUUUAAAAGAUACUUGUGCAUAAAAAGACAAUUAAGAAUUACAUUGCUCAAGAUUCAAAUGAACUUCAUAAAUUAAUAAUAUGCUAAUCUAUACUAGACAUUUUAGUUUCAUUCAAUUAAUUCUAUAAGAUAUUUUACAUUAGUUUAAUAAUAAUAAUAGCAAUAAAGUAUUUAUCAAAAUAAAUUAUCUAUUUUUUAAGCAAUAUUUAAAGUAUAACUAUUAUUUGAAUCAGUUUUAAAAGAAUGUUUAUAUUGAAUAUAUAUAUAUAUAUAUAUAUAUAUAUAUAUAUAUAUAUAUAUAUAUAUAUAUAUAUAUAUAUAUAUAUAUAACAACAACAAAAGGUAGAUUGCGUUAGAAAAUAAGAAUUAUGGAGACAAAGCCCAAAAGCCAAAUAAGAUGAGAUGGGGAUUUCUUACUAUAAGGAGUAUUUUGUUGGUUGGUUCGAGGUGGCAUAAAAAAAGAUACGUAGGAGUUUUGGGGAUAUAAGUGCCAUUAUUUGCAUAUUUACAAUAGCAAUCGAUAGGGUUUACAUGUUGCAUCAUAAGAAAAAUAUGCAUUCAAAUCAUGUGCAUUGUGCAACUCUUAUUAAUUUCUCAUGUAUUGUUAUUUUUAAUAAAAAUUAUUUGCUUAUAAAAAAAUUCAAAUUUGCUUAGAUAUAAAAAAGUGAUUUUUCCAAAGCAACUUUCAAUUGAAUAUUAAGUGAAUGAAUAUUAUCGUGUAACUUAAAUUUCUUAGAACGUUGAUUAGAAUAUUAAGGAAUUAGUGUAAAAGAAUUUUUCUCA